UAUGUAACGGGUGAAGCUACCAUCAUGCCUCCAGGUCGUUCAGGUUUCUCGGAACUUUGACAAAAAGUUUUGAAACGAAGAGAAACCUUCCAUCGCAUCGUGCGGCAUGUUAAGCGUGAAAGGGGGAAGAACACUCGGACCAGCCUUCAGGUUCUUCGGGCCAGCGGCUGACGGUAGCGCAAGUGCAGGCUGCUGUCUGUUGAGCUUUUCUAUGAUGUACGAGAAAGUUCCAAAAGCCAGGCAGCUCUGAAUCAGAGUUUGCGGUGCACCUGCAACAGACAGCAGAAAAUAUGGUACUGAGGUGAUCGAUACAUAUGAAGCAGUUUAUUUAUGCUACAGGAGCAAAAAUAGAAACAUUAACUCCUGCCCCACUCCCUACAAAAAGCAAAGAGAGAAGUUGUAUUCUCAGCACAAAUGAUGAUCCAAACUAACCCCUUUGAUUAUACGAUUUUGGUUAGUAGAAUCUACAUUUCUACGAUCCUAAUAGUUAAGAUUCUACCACUGGUGAUCACUGGUGGAGCUACAGUGGAUUUCUUGGGCGGCCCAACCUGAAGAAGAAACCAUAAGAGAUGGGCCAGGCCACUUGGCAAGCUAGUUAGGCAGUUUUUCAGCUAGGCAGGGCGGGCCAGAGCACAGGUUCGCCCCAACGUAGCUCUGAUCCGAUUCAAAAUAACGAUUUUGACAACCUUGUCGAGCGACCAAGCGGAACGCUCGUUUCAGCAUCUCUCCCUCUCUCGAUCCGCGACGACGGCAAAGCACUCCCACCUCUCCCUCUCCGGCAACGGCUGUCCUAGCCUCCCCCCACUUCUGUCCUCUGAUGGCAUGCAGCAGCAGCGGGCAGCCAGGUACAAGCUGGGUGACGAUCAAGCAGCUGGACGGCGGCUGUAGCGGACAGCUUGGGCAGAGCGGAGGCAGUAGAAGGAGCAGAAGGAGCAGCAGCUCAUGGGCUGUGGCUGGUAGUUGCAGGUGGCGGCCUCACAUGCUGGGCGGCGGCCAGGCGCUGCACGUCUCGAUUUGUUGAGCGACACAACAUGAGGAAUUGGCAGGCGGUGGCUACACCACAGAAGAGCAGGCUCUGCUCCAUUGUCCACUCUCCCUUGUGCGUUUGCUAGACUAGUGAUAAUCACCUAAAUGGAAAUUGUACAUGCUUUUUCUUGCCUUUUGCAACUACAGAAAAUUUGUGCAUGUUGUGGACCAUUUAUUGAUGAUUCUUUCUAAAUUUGUUAGUAAAAUAUGAUUGUGUAAGACUAUUGAUGUUAUUUAUUUGACAUGAUUGUGAUGCAAAAUAUAAAUUAUUGGUGAACAAAAAAUAAAUAAAACAUUGUUUUGAAAUUAAAUAAAGUGAUUCCGAAAAUACAAUUAAUGUUGCAUAUAUAGCCAGAAAAGCAAAACACUAAUCUGAACAUUUCUCAUUAUUCCAUUCCAUCAACCAAACACUGAGAUGUAACUGUUUCAUUCCACCUCAUUAUUCAUACGAAACACAAAGAUGGAACCAUUACAUUCCAUUCCACUUGGUUCUUCAACCAAACACACCCUCAGUGUCUUUGGCGGCACGGCUGGCUUCUGGGCGAUAGGGCAUGCUCGUGGCGGCCAUGGCGGCGACCUAUGUUNGAUAUGGCGUCCAGCGGAGGCUAGCGGCGCGUGUCGAUGGCUUCUGUUGUGCCUAAGACGGCAAUGGCUGGCGACAAUGGUGGCCCAACAGUGCUCGGUCACGACAGCUGCCAAGGCUUCGCCUUUCUCUAUGGGCACGUAGGGCGUGUGAGAUGGUGGCCCUAGGCAGGUUACGGUGGGGGUGGCGACAGUGUGGGGUCCUAAAGGAGGAUGCGGCCGGCGAUGCCGAGGCUGCCCGAAGACCGAAAGUGUCGGUUCCUGGGCAGCUCCCUAUUGAGAUCUGGAGGAGCCAAAUCUUGAAGGAGCACUAGCUGCCGAUCCGUCCAGAGGUUUUGCAGGCAGGUGGCUGGCGCGCGAGCCGAGGUGCAGGGUUUGGGUAUCCCACCCCCCUCAUGGACGGGCAGUUCGUUGGGCAGCCAUGGCGGCGGUGCUGCCCGGCUAUGGCCGUUGGCCUUGUGGUGGGACCCCGAGGGCAGGUGUCUUCUUCCCUUCGGUCGGCGACGGCCACAUGCUAUGCCGUCGGUGAGAGGUUCGGAUAGGGAUGUCGAGGCGGUGGCCUCAGGUGGCGGGCUACUCGAUAGGCUCUCGACGGGUGUACGGGUGUACGGGUGGCACAGUGGUGGUUGUGCUUCUUGGUCAUGUGGGUGGCGAGAGGUGUUGUGGUGGGUGGCAUUGGUGUCUUCUCUGUUGUGGCAGCGAAGGUGCGCAGAUCUGGUCAUGGAGAUCCCGGCUUCGUAGCAGCGGUUGACUUCGUUACUUCUUUGUGGCUCAGGGUAACAACCGGGUGAAAGCUCUGCGCUUCGUCCCCGGCAGAGACGGCGUCCAUGGGUGCUACUUUCCUCUUGAGGAUGUUGUCGCAGUUUCCCCUACCAGGUUUCUGAGUGAAAACAUUUGUUUGUUCCGUCGGCAACGGCGAUGAAUUGUGCCAUUUCCCUCUUGAGAGUGCCUUAUCUUUGGUUGUGGCGUGGUGUUGUCUUCACGCCCUUUUGUAUUCUUGCUCAUCUUCGUCGUGUCUUCCCAUCCGAUGUGUGUUGUCCAUUUUUUUUUCUAUUUUCUACUUUGUUUGAGGGCUUCCUCACCAUCAUGUAUCGUUCAACCAUGUACUUGUGGUUCGUGCUUUACCAUCCAUGCCAGCAAUUGUGCAUCCAUAAAUGGAACCAAGGGGGUAAGGCAAAUCAAGGAGACAAAAUAAAAAUCUAUGACAUCAAAACUGUAAGAACUAAGAAAAUGUGUCAUGUAACACCAAACUAAUUCGGAAAUCAUUAGCAAUAUGCGGUAAACCACAAGAGAGUACAGAAGCAAGUGUACAACUGAUGGAGAACUCAAAACGAUCAACUUUUUAGCCAUAAAACUUGCAACUGAUGCCAGAUAUCUAACCAUGACCUAAAAGGCUAUGCGUGCUUUCAAAACAAAUCACAAGUCCAGAAACCACCAUGACACUAGCACACGUUUGCAGCCAACACUGGGGUUGCCAACCAGGUAAAUUUUUUAUCCAAAUAACCUACACUAGGCAACUAGAAUAAUACAGGCAAAUCAUUUUCACUCUUACUGUUAAACUACAUUAAACUAUGUCAAAACCAUGGUCUUUGGGCAAGGUAUCCAGGAACAACGUUAAAUUUAGAUAGUUCCAGCUAUUAAUUGCAUUGCUAUAACUUUACCUGGAAAACUCAAAGCAAGGCCAGUGCAACAGCCUGCAACUCCUGCAUUAAUAACUGUAGACAAAAGAUCCACAAGUCAAUGGUCAUCCUUGUCAUUUUAUACACCCUAAGUACUUCAAAAAAGGUAGCAGAAUAGCAGCACAAUCUUAAAGGGGGCAUCAAAGACAGACCGUCAUCUUUUCCACGUAGCUUUCUCAAAGAGCAAGAAACCAAACUUUGAACGCCGGCAAGAACAGCAAAUAUCUAGAACAACAGACAAAAUUCUCAAUGUGAUGGUUAACAGAGAAAAGUCUAUUCCAAACGAAAUGAACAUUGGUAUCCAAUUAAUGAAAUAUGUAUCAUCAUACCUUAGCAGAAGAGGCAGCGUCAGCAAAUGAGCCUUUAAACCCUUUUGUGGUAACCAAACCUUUUCCUAAAAAAUCACCAGAUAUAGUUAACAUAACAAAGAGAUAAUUGUUGUGUUUUGAAUAGAAGGAUGACACACAGCAGGGCAGCCUGACAUAACGUAUACCAAACAAAAAUAUUGUGCACAAUGAACACACAAGGCUGAACCAAUUCAAAUUUACAGGUAGCAUUAAAUGAUUGAAUUGAUUUGACAUGACCACCAGAUCCACUACCAUAUUCCAUAAAAGAUCUACAUUGUUAUAUUCAAGGUGGUAAUGGACGUAACCAGAUAGGCUAUUUUUGUUAUCCGCAAAUUAAGGUGGCAUUUAGUUGGUGAUUGGUUCACUUUGCCUCAGCCUGACUGUCAGUGGUGGAGUGCACAAAGCAGCAAUUGGUUUCUUUAUACAAAAUUAGAGCAGUGAUUAAGUAUCACCCAUGCAUGUUGAGCAACUUAACAUGAUAACAGACACCGCGAAGCUCCAUACGUGCCUCCUUUACUAAGAAAGACCCUGCAUGAGAAUGCAAUGUCGGGAGCAUCUAAUCUACCAAUUAAUCACCAGGUCUAGGUAAAACAGAUUUGACAAUUGACAUGCUUUGGAUUUUGGGCAUCCAAAAACUUCUUUGGAUGACAAUGAGACGCAAAAUCCAAAAAUUGGAUUCUAAAAUUAGGCGUAUGCUUGAACCUAUUUCUGUGCCAAACCACUGGUAACAGAUUAGCAACCAAGAACGGAGCUAGGUGUGUAACUCCAUUGUCUCUUUGUGUGUUGCUUUUACUUUAGUUCUUAGUCCACAACAGGUUGUAUGAACACACCACAAACACACAGUAAACAUACGAGUUGAGUAUGUUUGUAUGAGCCAAAAGAAAGUUCUCUACCAAAUUUUCUGAGAAAACCCGCACAUGUUCUGUAACAUUUUCUUUCAUUUGGCAGCAUUAGCAAGUAAUUUCCCCCCCCCCAUUUUAUCCUUUUGCAAGGAAUAAACACACACUGCAGCUUCCAGAUAGGUACGUAUGCAUGCAGUCAGGCCUUGAAUCAAGUAAACGGAGCAAAAACAAUUUGGUUUUACCAACAUUUCUGAGAAACUUCGCACAUGUUUCAAUCUCAGUAAGCACGUGCUUUUUCACGAGGAAUAAUUAUGCGGUUAACUGUAAAAUCCAUCAAUAAUCUGCUCCAUAAUCCUUGGUGCCAGUGUCACACAAAUUAAACAAAAUUGCUACAAGUUCAACUAUCCUGAAUAUGUAACUGUAAUCAGCUGCAUGAAACCCAAACAACACACCAUGUGCUGCAAUUGAGCCUUAUCUCCUAAAUGUCCUCAACACUGGCACAGUAUACUGCGAAUCUAACAAAGAAAAACCAUAAUCAAUGCCUUAUGAAUGACACUACCCAUAGACCGUGUGAACAAUCAGUACUAAGAGCUCAAUUGCACACCCCAGAUUAGACGAACACCUUAAGACACAACCUUAUGGAAUAUAAUCAAAUCUGAUCUCCUGCCAGUCAAAAACCUUAUCAAAUUACGAGAGGCCUAAAAUAGAAAGGGAGCCAGCCAGGACCAAAGAUCGCAGAGCCCUAACCCUAACGGACGUGUCGAGCCGAACGAGGAGGUGGAGGGGACGGCGGUGUUACCAUAUCCAACGACGGCUCCGACGAGGGAACCGGCGGCCGACUCCCAGGCGAAGCGGAGGAGGCAGACCCCAGGNNNNNNNNNNNNNNNNNNNNNNNNNNNNNNNNNNNNNNNNNNNNNNNNNNNNNNNNNNNNNNNNNNNNNNNNNNNNNNNNNNNNNNNNNNNNNNNNNNNNNNNNNNNNNNNNNNNNNNNNNNNNNNNNNNNNNNNNNNNNNNNNNNNNNNNNNNNNNNNNNNNNNNNNNNNNNNNNNNNNNNNNNNNNNNNNNNNNNNNNNNNNNNNNNNNNNNNNNNNNNNNNNNNNNNNNNNNNNNNNNNNNNNNNNNNNNGACUUCAAUGAUUGCCGUAAAAGAUAGCGCGUGAGAGCCCCAUACCUGACCAAACGAGCCGGCCCGACACGGCCCAUGGUAAUCGGGCCUGGCACGGCACGGCCCGUCCAGGCACGUUUAUUAAUCGGGUCGUGUCGUGUCAGCCCGUGGGCUGCGCCUCUAGGCCUGUAAGAUUUGAGAGAGAGAGGUUUUGGAUCAGCACACUUUAUUCAAUCUAAACCAUGAUGUCUAACAGAAAACCCUAAGGAGGUAGUCAGCGGCAGCAAUCGUGCGAGGUGGGUUAGUGCUGGGUUAUCGAUUCCGAGGCAUGCGGACGUGCAUGCGUGCUGGGUCAUCGCCAUGCAUGGGCUUGCUUGAGGGCCAAGUCGGCCGACGCCAUGGGCUGUAGUGAGGUCUAUUCCAAAACCACCCCUCCCCCCCCCCGCCCGCAGUCGAUGCCUCGCUGUCGGAGAUGCAUAGACCGGAGCGGAAUUCCCGAAACAUCGACGGUGGAAGCCCCUUGGUCAUGACGUCGGCGAACUGUUGAGCCGUAGGUACGUGAAGAACACGGACAUGCCCCAGCGCCACCUUCUCGCGGACGAAAUGGAUGUCGAGCUCGAUGUGCUUGGUGCGACGGUGAUGGAUGGCAGAGAGGUACACCGCCGAGACAUUGUCGCAGUAGACUACCGUGGCUUUGGCGACGCCGCAUUGUAGCUCAGUUAAGAGCUGACGCAGCCACGAGCACUCGGCAACCGCAUUGGCAACGGCAGGGUACUCGGCCUCCGCGCUAGAGCGGGACACGGUGGGUUGCCGUUUGGACGACCACGACACCAGCGAAGGCCCCAUGUAGAUGCAGUAGCCAGAGGUGGAGCGGCGAGUGUCGGGGCAGCCGACCCAGUCGGCGUCGGAGUAGGCGACGAUGUCGAGCGACGAGGAGGCGCAGAGAGAGAGCCCAAGCGAGGGCGACCCGUGGAUGUACCUCAAGAUGCGCUUCACCAAUGUCCGGUGAACGUCACACGGAGCAUGCAUUGUGGAGGCAGACUUGUUGCACCGCGUACUCGAGAUCGGGCCUCGUCAGUGUCAGGUACUGGAGGGCGCCGACGAUGCUGCGGUAGAAGGAGGCAUCGGAGAAGGGGACGCCAGCCUGCCCUAAGACCUUGCCCGAGGUGUCGAUGGGGGUAGAUGCUGGCUUACAGUUGAUCAUGCCGGCGCAGUCCAGCAGUUCGAGGGCGUACUUCUUCUGGCAGAGGAAGAAGCCAUCGGAGCGGCGCGUGACCUCCACGCCCAGGAAGUAAUGGAGCGCGCCAAGGUCCUUCAGGGCGAACUCGCAUUGAAGGAGACCGACGACGCGACGGAGGAGAGCGUCGGUGGAGGCCGUCAAGACAAUGUCAUCGACGUACAGCAGAAGGUACACCAUGUCAGUGCCACGGCGGUAGACGAACAACGAUGCGUCGGACCUGGUGAUGACGAAGCCGACACGGACCAGGAACGCGGUAAUGCGUUGGUACCAGGCGCAGGGAGCGUGCUUGAUGCCGUAGAGGGACCGAGAGAGCAGGCAGACGUCGUCGGGGCGCGCAGGGUCGACGAAGCCAGCCGGCUGCUGGCAGAAAACUUGCUCCGUCAGGUGCCCGUGCAAGAAGGCGUUGGAGACGUCGAGUUGAUGGACGACCCAGCGGCGCGAGUAGGCGAGCUGAAGGACACAAUGACUCGUGCCCGGCUUCACGACGGGGGCGAAAGUCUCGGUGAAGUCGUGUCACGCCCAAGAUGCGACCCUAUCCUCAAUUUGGCACGAGGGCCUCGUCAGGGAUAGAAGCGCAUCUCGUCGUGUCGCAAGAAUGGAUAUCGUUACAAGUACAUGUACUAAAAGGAAGAGAUAUAUAAUAGAAUUGGCUUACACUUGCCACAAGCUACAUCAGAGUCACAUCAGUACAUUACAUAUUCAUCAUGAAGAAGAGCAGGGUCCGACUACGGACGAAAACAAACGAGAAAAGAAGAACGGCGUCCAUCCUUGCUACCCCAGGUUGCCGGCCUGGAACCCAUCCUAGAUCGAUGAAGAAGNNNNNNNNNNNNNNNNNNNNNNNNNNNNNNNNNNNNNNNNNNNNNNNNNNNNCCUUUACCUGUAUCUGCAACUGGUGUUGUAGUAAUCUGUGAGCCACAUGGGACUCAGCAAUCUCAUUUCCAAAGGUAUCAAGACUAGCAAAGCUUAAUGGGUGAGGUAAGGUUAAGUGGUGAGGUUGCAGCAGCGGAUAAGCAUAUAUUUGGUGCCUAAACUUACGAGUACAAGAAAUAAGAGGGGGAAGAUCUACGCAUAACGGACGUGAACUACUGGUGAUCAAAGGAAUGAUCCUGAGCACCUACCUACGUCAGACAUAACCCCACCGUGUCCUCGAUCGGAGUAAGAACUCACGAAAGAGACAGUCACGGUUACGCACCUAGUUGGCAUGUUUUAAUUAAGUUAUCUUCAAGUUAUCUAGAACCAGUGUUAAACAAAGCUUCCACGUUGCCACAUAACCGCGGGCACGGCUUUCGGAAAGAUUCAACCCUGCAGGGGUGCUCCAACUAGUCCAUCACAAAUUACCACAAGCCGCAUAGAAAUCCUCAAUCACGAAGCUCGCGAUCUCGUCGGAUUUCCUAGUGGAAAACCUCAACUCUGAGAUUACCCAAAGCAUCACCGGAAUCCCGAUGCACAAGAUAUCUCGUCAAAGGUAAAACUAAUCCAGCAAGGCCACCCGCGCGUGUCGACGAUCCCGAUAGGAGCCGCGUAUCUCGUUCUCAGGACACGAUGGAUGAGCGACGCGUACGGUGGCCUGAUAGAAAUCACCCAAGUUUCCCUGGGUUGGCCCCGCACAGUGCUCUGUUUUGGACCAGCACCAUCAGCACUGGCCCUCCCUGUAUUAUGUAGAAUUACUCCUCGGGUUCAUGACGCCCUAUGCUUUCAGUAUUAACAAAAUUAUUAUGUUGGGAAAAUGUAGUACCAAUGUUGGGCCUUGCCAGACCAGCUUUAAUCUAAAACGAAUUAUCAAGGGGGUCCCCAUAACAACCCCCAUCGUGUUAGGAGCGCUCAAUUAUGGAACAUAACACCGGUAGCCGAAACUAAGGGGGCAAAGGUGGAACAAAACACCAGGCUAGAAAGGCCGAGCCUUCCACCUUUUACCAAGUAUAUAGGUCCAUUAAAUUAAAUAGCAUUAAUAUGGUGAUAUGACAAGGAACUCAUGUUUUCACAUGGAAGCAACUACACCUGCAACUAGCAACGCUAACAACAUGGUUAAGCAAGCAGUAGCAUAGCCAAUCAGUGGUUUGCUAGGUUGAACAAGUUGAAGGUUUCAUGGCAUUGUUGAGAGGCUGAUAUUUAACAUGUGGUAGGCAACGAGACAUAAUCGAUAGAAGCGGUAAAACUAGCAUGGCAAUGAUAGUAAUGGUAUCCGGGGAAAUGGUCAUCUUGCCUGAGAUCCCACUUGGAAGAAGAACAACUCCGUGAAGUCGGCGAACCAAUGUGGUCAGACGGGUCCUCACAUUCCGACACGCUUGCGGAACUCUAUUGAGACGGAGCAAACCGGAAACAAACAUCAACACAGAUAUUCACCACACGAUGCACAACAUGAUGCAUACCCAAUAUGAUGCAUGGACGCCCAACCCCUAAUGAUGCACUUAAACCAUCCUACAUCGGUAAACAGGUGCCACAUCAUCAUGAAGUGACACCUCAGCAGGACUGCCCAAAACUGGAAACUACUAACUCCAUUGGAUUCCUUGGGUUCUCCUCCCCCAAAUCUAUAUACUACACUCCUAUAUAUGCAUGCAGAAAAACACCAGAAACAGCAAAGGAAAAACUACACAAGAUCAAACUCUGCUAACAACAAGAACAGGGGUUGUUCUUGAUAUGCCAGAUUUGGCAUAUACCUCUUCUGAAAUAUCCAGAUAUGGAAAUACAUCACAACACCAAUCAACAAAAUUAUAUAAUCGUCAGGGGGUCCCACUGGUCAUACUCACCAGGGCCCCUAGUAAGGCAUGUGGGCUCUGGACCCACUGACAGAGGCACACUACAACAAGCAACUAAAAACACAAGGGAAAAAACUAACAUGGGAGUAGGGGGACUCGAACCCACUACCUUCUUGCAAGACAACAGGGCAAUCACCACUGAGCUAGGCUCGGAUCACUGCCCUAACAAGGGGAGUAACCCACCUAUGCUACACGUGCAGACAACGCAACAAAUUGAAACAAAAACCCAAAUAAGAGGACGCGCGAGGGGCUCGAACCCUCGACCUACUGGCGCUGCAGUGGCUCGGUUGCCACUACGAUGGUGAAGUAUAACUGCUAGAACAAGGGAAGAAAUGCACAUAUGCAGGCUCUGCUAGCUAGCACAGGAGAACAAAAAUCGUAGAGAAUAAAAGGGGGGCGCUGGGUCUCGAACCCGAGACGUUGAGAACGAAAACAUGCUCGAUGCCACUGCGCUACCGUGGGGAUUCUGCCUAAGAAGGGAGCAAAGCAGAUCUAAAAGAAAACAUGGGGCGUCGCUGGAGCAGGGAGACGCCGGCGACGACGACGCGCGCCAGAGCCACUCGCCUGCAGGCGCAUACGACGCACAACCACGCGAUGCGCUACGUCCCUCGCGUCACUACAUAGCAGGCGCGGAACCUACGCCUAUAAGACGCAUGCACGCAGAGCUGCGGAAACUAGCGCAUCCUGCCGGUGCAACUCCGACAGGGCGGCGCCCACGCGCAACAUCGGCGACCUACUGCAGAGAGGGAAACGAAGGGGGGAUAGAGCUGCGCUCACCCAGGGUGCAGAGAGAGGGCUCGCGGGAGGGGAGACACGCCGCGCGACGACGUCCUGCUGCAGAGAACUCGUCGGAGAGGAAGAAGGACCAUCCGCCGAGGAGGUCGAGGCCGUCGUCCUUGGCGCUAGCUGCCCGUGGGAAUGGAACUCCAUGGGCGCCCGCGAGCUCCUGGUCCAGGAGGGGGAAGAAGGGGGCGUCGGGCUACCACGCAUCAGGCACUUGCCCGAGCCGGCCAUGGUGCGGUGGAGCUCGGGAACUCGCCCCGACGGCGCUAGGAGGGANGACGAGGGUUAGGGUUUCAGAGAGUCCGAGGCUGCUAAGUAUCUCGCACCACCCGCUCGGGGCCGUCUGAUCGAGGGAAGAAACGAUCUAUGGUGGUCAGGGGGUUCGUACGUGCUGACAUGAUCGAGGAGGAAGAAGCUGCCGCCAGCCAGGCCUGGGCUGAUUGCACUCACCUGGGCCUGGUGCUCCCUCUCUCACUGAGAAGGCCUACCUAAUAAAACAUUACAGCGAAAAUCAAACCACACGGGCUAAAGGAAAAUAGUUUUGGUGGAAACAAAAAUAUAACUGGGCUUUUAAAAUGUUGCCACUGUUUAUAAAAAUAAGUGGAACAUUUUUAGAAGUCCAAAAUUAUAUUCAUCUAAUUUAAAUGGGCUUUGAUUUUUUAAAUAAGAUAAGAAGGAAAGUAAAGUAGAAACCAGAGGGGUUGCCUCCACAAAAUGAAAAGGAUUUUUUUUAGGGAAAGAUGAACAUUUUUUUAAAUGGAGAAACAAAGCCUUUUAAACCUGCCACAAAUUAACAUAGAGAGAGAAGGGUUUUCUCCUUAUGGAGCAACAUGUGGGUUUUGACAUGCACUUGUUGCCCCCACACCUAAACAAUCACUAAGGACAUCAACACAACACUUGCACAUCACAACAAGGACACCCACAUCAACACAACCACAACAAAAGGGAAAGAAUGCAAUGCAAGAAGGCAUGAUGCACAUGAAAUGAUGACACAAAGUUAGGCUCACCCCACAUCACACCAACAUGCCAAGGUUGCCAUACAAGGAGGAUACAAAAGGGGAGGGGAGAUUGCACUUGGGCUGUCACAAGUCGAGACCAGCCCGUUGCCGGAAGCCGCGAACGACCCAGCUGCCAGGUGCGAUUCCUCAGUAGCGCGUCGUACUCGUCUUGCAUGACGGCGCGCCAGUGAGGGUCCCGGAGCGCCGAGUGGACGGACGCAGGGAGCGGCGAAGGAGCCGUCGUGGUGGCAGUGCAGACGUACUCGUUGGAGGAGUACCUCUGGCUGGGUCGAUGGACACCCGCGCGCGCACGGGUAAGCACUCCGAAGUGUACGGGGGCAGCAGGUGGGGCAGUUGAGGGAGAGGCCGGCCCCGUACUGGGCACGGGGGCAGCAGGUGGUGGAGGCGUCGUGCCGACAGGAGCGGGGCCCGGUGGUGCAGGAGACGGGGCCGAGACGCCCGGGGCAACUAGCGGAGAAGNNNNNNNNNNNNNNNNNNNNNNNNNNNNNNNNNNNNNNNNNNNNNNNNNNNNNNNNNNNNNNNNNNNNNNNNNNNNNNNNNNNNNNNNNNNNNNNNNNNNNNNNNNNNNNNNNNNNNNNNNNNNNNNNNNNNNNNNNNNNNNNNNNNNNNNNNNNNNNNNNNNNNNNNNNNNNNNNNNNNNNNNNNNNNNNNNNNNNNNNNNNNNNNNNNNNNNNNNNNNNNNNNNNNNNNNNNNNNNNNNNNNNNNNNNNNNNNNNNNNNNNNNNNNNNNNNNNNNNNNNNNNNNNNNNNNNNNNNNNNNNNNNNNNNNNNNNNNNNNNNNNNNNNNNNNNNNNNNNNNNNNNNNNNNNNNNNNNNNNNNNNNNNNNNNNNNNNNNNNNNNNNNNNNNNNNNNNNNNNNNNNNNNNNNNNNNNNNNNNNNNNNNNNNNNNNNNNNNNNNNNNNNNNNNNNNNNNNNNNNNNNNNNNNNNNNNNNNNNNNNNNNNNNNNNNNNNNNNNNNNNNNNNNNNNNNNNNNNNNNNNNNNNNNNNNNNNNNNNNNNNNNNNNNNNNNNNNNNNNNNNNNNNNNNNNNNNNNNNNNNNNNNNNNNNNNNNNNNNNNNNNNNNNNNNNNNNNNNNNNNNNNNNNNNNNNNNNNNNNNNNNNNNNNNNNNNNNNNNNNNNNNNNNNNNNNNNNNNNNNNNNNNNNNNNNNNNNNNNNNNNNNNNNNNNNNNNNNNNNNNNNNNNNNNNNNNNNNNNNNNNNNNNNNNNNNNNNNNNNNNNNNNNNNNNNNNNNNNNNNNNNNNNNNNNNNNNNNNNNNNNNNNNNNNNNNNNNNNNNNNNGGAGGCGAGCUGGAGACCUGUUGAAAGGGAAAAACAUACUCGUCAAAGUACACGUACCUGGAGAUGAGAACUCGCCCAGAUGCCGGAUCGAAGCAACGGAAACCCUUGGUAUUGGGGGGGGGGUAGCCGAAGAAUACGCAGAGAAUAGACUGGGGGCGAGUUUAUGUGGAGAAGUAGCGAGAAGAUUAGGAUAACAGAGGCAACCAAACACCCGGAGGUUGUCGUAGGAGGGUUGGUGACCAAAGAAGAGGUGAUCGGGAGUGAAUUGGCCACGAGCACGGUAGGGGCGCAGGUUGAGGGUGUGGGUGGCGCUGGAGAGAGCCUCGGUCCAGAACCGGGGCGGAACGGCGGCGUGAAGGAGCAGCGCACGAACAACGUCGUUGAGGGUACGAAGAGCACGUUCGGCACGCCCAUUUUGCUGGGAUGUAUACGGGCAUGUAAGGCGGAGGAUGGAACCGUGCGCGGAAAGCAAAGAGUGGAUGCCAUGGUUGUCGAAUUCGCGCCCGUUGUCGGUUUGGAGGCCGAGUAUAGGGCGGGAAAACUACGUUUGAACAAAGGCGAAGAACGAAGUGAGCGUGGGGAGGACAUCCGACUUGCGAUGCAACGGAAAAGUCCAUACAAAGUGCGAGAAAUCAUCGAGAAGCACCAAGUAGUAUUGAAACCCUGAAUUGCUUAUUAUUGGAGAGCACCAUACAUCACAAUGCAACAAUUCAAAUGGAAAACGAGAGAUGUGAGAAGAAGAAAAAGGAAGGCGAGUGCUCUUGCCCAAACGGCAAGCAGAGCACGAGUGAGGCGCACUUUUAAUACAUUGAAAAAGAUUGCUACGGAGGAGCUGGUGCAUGGUCGAGGCACCGGGGUGCCCCAAGCGGGCAUGCCAGAUAUCGACGCCCGCGCGAGGAGGGCGACGCCGGAGCGGAUAGAGAUCACCAGGGCUAUCACAUCGGAGCAGCACCGUCUUGGUCCGCAGGUCCUUGAUGGAGAAACCAAAGGGGUCAAAUUCAACCAAAACAAAAUUCUGACGAGUGAGUGCACGAACAGAAAUGAGAUUAGUGAUAAGCUGAGGAGAAACGAGCACAUCAUAGAGUUUAAUGGGAGAAUGAGGGGAGAGAGAGAUCACCGUGGUGUGUGAUGGGGAGAGAGGAACCAUCACCCACCACGAUGCGAGUAGAUGUAGGGAAGGGUUUAGACUGGGAGAGGAUACCAGGGUGGGAGGCCAUGUGGGAGGAUGCGCCAGUGUCCAUGAACCAGUCGUCGUUGCCGGAGUAGGCGGCCGACGAGGGAGCCUGAUGCAGGGCCGCCAGGAGCGCUGGAUCGUAGGGGGAGGACGCCCCGCCGGAGUUGCUGAGCCAGUGCCCAGGGGGCGUGGNNNNNNNNNNNNNNNNNNNNNNNNNNNNNNNNNNNNNNNNNNNNNNNNNNNNNNNNNNNNNNNNNNNNNNNNNNNNNNNNNNNNNNNNNNNNNNNNNNNNNNNNNNNNNNNNNNNNNNNNNNNNNNNNNNNNNNNNNNNNNNNNNNNNNNNNNNNNNNNNNNNNNNNNNNNNNNNNNNNNNNNNNNNNNNNNNNNNNNNNNNNNNNNNNNNNNNNNNNNNNNNNNNNNNNNNNNNNNNNNNNNNNNNNNNNNNNNNNNNNNNNNNNNNNNNNNNNNNNNNNNNNNNNNNNNNNNNNNNNNNNNNNNNNNNNNNNNNNNNNNNNNNNNNNNNNNNNNNNNNNNNNNNNNNNNNNNNNNNNNNNNNNNNNNNNNNNNNNNNNNNNNNNNNNNNNNNCGCUGCAGAGAGGACUGCUGCAUCCUCCGCUCCUUGAGGCGCAAGUAGUUGAUGGCGCGGGCGAACGUCGGCUCGGUGAGAAGGUUGAGAUUAGAAGCAGCGUUGGCGUAGUCUGAACCGAGCCCACGGAUCAGGUUCGUGAGCAUGGUGGCGUCAGAGACCGGGGCGCCCACGUCGCGGAGCUCGUCGGCGAGCACCUUGAGGCGGAGGCAGUAGUCGAAGAGCCCCAUGCCUUCCUGGGAGAGGCUGUAGAACUCGGUCGUGAGAAGCACAUGACGCUGGAGCUGAUUGUCGAGGAAGAGCUGGCAGAUGGAGGUCCAAAUGCCGAGGGCCGAGUCAUCGUCGCGGAUGACGUGCGAGAGGAUCUCGUUGCUGACGGUGCGAUAGAGCCACUUGAUGGUAGUGGCGUCAACCCUCAUCCAGUUGGCAUCGUCGCGCAUGGCGCGGGCGUCAACCGAUCUGUCGACAUGAUCCCGAAUUUGGAAUUCGCGGAAGGUCAACGAGACGUAGGUGCGCGAGGUGGAGAAGGAGGGUGUGUGGAUAUCCAGGACGACGGGGACGUGAUCCUGGAUGUGGAUGAGCCGAAGGCUGGCGGCAGAGGCAGGCUCGAGAACGGCAAAGGGGUUGACCUCGCCGGCGAGGGAGGAGCGAGGGGAGGCCAUCGCGGCGGUGGGUAGCGGAAGCGAGGAGAGGAUCAGAAGAAAACUAAUACCAUGUAAGAUUUGAGAGAGAGAGGUUUUGGAUCUGCACACUUUAUUCAAUCUAAACCAUGAGUAUUUAUACAGGUAGAUGAUCAGUGUCUAACAGAAAACCCUAAGGAGCUAGUUAGCGGCAGUGACCGUGCGAGGUGGGUUAGCAUUGGGUUAUCGAUUCCCAAGCAUGCGGACGUGCAUGCGUGUUGGGUCAUCGCCAUGCAUGGGCUUGCUUGAGGACCAAGUCGGGCCGACGACAUGGGCUAUAGUGAGGCCUGUUUCAACACCAGGCACGACCCGAUUAUUAAACGGGUCGGCAUGUUGGCCCGAUUAGCACGCUNCACGUGCCCAGCCUCCAGGCCCAGGCACGGUCCGAGGCGUGCUUCGUGUCGAGCCCGAGCACGAUUAGCCCGUGCCGGGCCGGGCCGGGCCCGUGUCGUGCCAGACACGCGGGCUGUCGGGCAAGCCCAUUUACCCGGCCCCCAUUUGGCGAGAUCUGGUUCCAGCAGACACUGUAACAAAAUCGAUGCACGUGUGGUAGUGGUGGAAAGGCACGUGGAGAAGGCGUUGAAUUUAUAAUGUGCGCCGAGCACCAUGCGCCAAAUCUAACACGUGUCGGGCCGCCUUUUCCCGUGCUUAAACUUUUCCCGCGCGUCAGAAUCUUUCGCGUGCGCUGGAGUGCACGCUAAAAUUCAAUUUUCCCUUGUGCCCACGUUUUUUAAGUCACUGUUGGAGAUGCUCUCGGGGGAACCAACUUGAGGGAGCGUGGUAUUCUUAGUCGGCCAGGUUUAAAUCUUGUGCUCGUAUUAUUUUUGAAAUUAUUUUAGGAUUUUCAGCAAUGCGCAUUUAGUGAAAAGAAUCAUUUUUGUCGACGACGAGGCGCCUAGAGUGAUUUAGUAAAUCUUAAGAUGAUAUGGUGGCUCAGUCUCUCGAAUGUGAUCAUAAGGAUAGGGUGUACGUAUAUGAGUUCAUAGGGAUGAUUAUAUACACGUGUAUAUGAGCGCUUACGUAUGUACUGUGUUAGAAAAAUACCGUCGCAUAGAAGAACACGGUUUUUUAUUUUAGAGGAAUGACCAUGUGUCUAUUAAACAAACAAUUACAAUGAAUACAUACAUAUAUACACNAUAUAUAUAUGGGGGGGGGGUCUCUUCAUGACUCAAGUGAAUGACAAGGACAAGGUUGAGAUGCCAUCUUUAUAUCAAAAUUUGUAUCAAUCAUUUCAUGACUCAAAUGGUCUGCUACAAUAAUUUCAAAGGUAUGGCACCCUCAAUCCAUCUCCCAAUAUCGUUCAAUUGCUCUUGGCACGGUGAUGUAUAAGAUUGUUGUUAAGGUAGUAGCUAAUCGUAUGAGGGGCAAUAUGAAGGUGAUCAUUAGUGAAGAGCAAAGUAUUUUUGUGCCUCGGUAUUUAAUUAAUGACAACAUUGUAUUUGCAUAUGAAAGUGUGGACACUAGGAGGCGACAAAAGAAGGGCAAGAGUUUCUCAUGCAUUGUUAAAUUGGUGAUGAAAGCCUACAACUGAAUUGAGUGGCAUUACUUGGAAGCCAUCUUGAUGAAGUUGGGUUUUAGCAUCGAUUUCGUAAGACUUAUUACGAAAUAUGUUUCGUCGGUCAGAUUCUCGGUAAGGGUGAAUCAAGAUCUUCUACCAUACUUCACUCCUACAGGGGGAUUGCGACAUGGCGUCCCAAUGUCAUUAUACCUAUUUCUGCUAUGUGUGGAAAGUUUUUCCUCGCUACUCAAAUACUAUGAUGGUGGCUAUGUGGACAAGGGGACCAGAGUCAAUUAUAGAUCACCGCGGGUGAGCCAUUUAUUAUUUGUCGAUGAUAGCCUCAUCUUCCUCAAUGCAACAAGGUUGAACUCCAUUAUUGAGAUAUGUGGAAGUGCUUCAGGGCAGAGUGUGAAUAUAGAUAAGCGGGCCAUCUAUUUUAGUCCUAACACACCGGAUCCGGUUCGACAAUUGCUGAAAACAUCCUUGGAUAUUCAUGUCGAGGCUUUCAUUGUAAAGUAUCUUGGUCUUCCAACAGCUGUGGGGCGCAUUACAAUUGAACUUUUGUACACAUGGAGAUAGGGCUCGAGGGAAGAUGCAAGAGUAGUUGGAAAAGUUAAUAGCUUGCGCCGGGAGAGAUGCAGUAUUGAAGUUCGUUGUUCAAGCGCUCCCGUUGUACAGUAUGACCACUUUUAUCUUGAACAAGAAAGUCUAUAAGAGCAUCACUUCACCAAUGGCAGAGAAAUUAUGGAGUAUCUCUUUGGACAAGAAAUCUAUGCAUUGGGUUUCAUGGUAUAAACUUGCGACUCCAAAGCGCAAAGAGGGCAUGGGAUAUUGAGACAUGCACCCCUUUAAUUUGGCUUUGCUAGGGAAGCAUGGUUGGCAUUUAUGACCUAGCCUAUAUUCCUAUAUGCAAGGGUUUUGAAGGGUCGCUACUUCCCGCACAUUGAUUUCAUGAAUGUUGUUCUUCCUCGCUCGGUAUCAGCUACAUGGCAUGCUACAAUUGCAGGAAUGGAAUCACUAAAGUUUGUUAUGAUAAAGCGAGCUGGUGAUGGAUCACCAAUUUCGUUUUGGGAUGAUAAAUGGACCGCGGGAAGUAUUUCCAUGACACCGAUGCUGAAACCGGAGAACGGGUGAUUGAAAAGGUCCCUGAGUUGAUUGAUUAGGACAAAUGUACAAGGAAUCAACAUGUGGUCAUAGAUACUUUUAUCCCGUCUCAUGCAGAUGCCAUUCUAAACGUUCCAAUUCGGCAAGGUGGAUGCAAUGAUUUUCUUGCUUGCGCAUUUGAAAAGCCAGGAAACUACAGUGUUAAAUCAGCGUACCAUAUCUCAUGACUUAAAAAGAGUGUUUGACUCUGGAAAAAGGAACGGCUACCGAGACCUCAAAGAGUGGUCAACAAUUAUGGAGUGCACUUCAGAAGUUGAAUGUUUUGCCAAGGGUUAGGGUGUUCUAGUGGAGGGUCUUGCAUGGAAUCAUGCUGGAUAUGCUUUAGGAGGGGCGCACAUUCCUGAUCUUCCCCAUGCCUGUCAGGCGAGCGAGGGCUGGGUGCGGUGCAUGUGCUCGGGUUAGCCCCAAUAGAGCAGAAAAAUCCAAGCGAUUGAGCUCUAGCUCACGGGCCUGCUCUCGUGUACAUCACCUCACCAGGUCCUUGAUGCUCUUGUCUCCUCGCGUAACAUCCAAAGGCAACCCCACGAGCGCCCUCGCUGCACUACUCUUGGCAAUUUCCCUGGUGCAAGAUAUCGAAGGCCUCAUGAGCCCCUGAUACGUCCAUUUUGCAUCAUGCUUUCAUGUUGAUAUUUAUCGCUUCUUGGGGUGUUAUUUCAUUUCACGGUACAAUACUUAUGCCUUUUCUCUCUUAUUUUGCAAGGUUUACAUGAAGAGGGAGAAUGCCGGCAACUGGAAUUCUGGCCUGAAAAAGGAGCAAGUUUGAGAUGCCUAUUCUGCGCAACUCCAAAAGCCAUGAAAAUCAACGUGGAUUUUUUUGGGAAUUUAUAAAAAAUACUGGGAUGAAGAAGUGCCAGAGGAGCGCAACCAGGGGGCCACAAGCCUCGUAGGCGCGACCACCCCCCUGGCCGCGCCUAGGGGGCUUGUGGGCUCCCUACUGGCCCACUGGCUCCCCUCUUCUGCUAUAUGAAGGGUUUCGUUCCGAAAAAAAAUCAAGAGGAGGCUUUUCGGAGGAUUCGCCGCCGCCACGAGGCGGAAGUUGAGCAGAACCAAUCUAGAGCUCCGGCAGGACGAUCCUGCCGGGGAAACUUCCCUCCUGGAGGGGGAAAUCGUCGCCAUCGUCAUCACGAACACUCCUCUCAUCGGAAGGGACUCAUCACCAUCAACAUCUUCAUUAGCACCAUCUCAUCUCCGAACCUUAGUUCAUCACUUGUAACCAAUCUCCGUCUCCCGACUCCGAUUGGUACUUGUAAGGUUGUUAGUAGUGUUAAUUACUAUUUGUAGUUGAUGCUAGUUGGAUUAUUUGGUGAAAGAGUUUAUGUUCAGAUCCUUGAUGCUACUCAUUACCUCUCUGGUCAUGAAUAUGAUUAUGCUUUGUGAGUAGUUACUUUUGUUCCUGAGGACAUGGGAUAAGUCAUGCUAAUAGUAGUCAUGUGAAUUUGGUAUUCGUUCGAUAUUUUGAUGUGUUGUAUGUUGUUUUUACUCUAGUGGUGUUAUGUGAACGUCGACUACAUAAAAUUUCACCACUAUUUGGGCUAUAGGAAGGAAUUGGGAAGUAGUAAGUAGAUGAUGGGUUGCUAGAUUGACAGAAGCUUAAACCCUAGUUUAUGCGUUGCUUCGUAAGGGGCGGAUUUGGAUCCACUAGUUUAAUGCUAUGGUUAGACUUUGUCUUAAUUCUUCUUUCGUAGUUGCGGAUGCUUGCGAGAGGGGUUAAUCAUAAGUGGGAUGCUUGUCCAAGUAAGGGCAGUACCCAAAUGCCGGUCCACCCACAUAUCAAACUAUCAAAGUAACGAAAGCGAAUCAUAUGAACAUGAUGAAAACUAGCAUGACAGAAAUUCCCGUGUGUCCUCGGGAGCGUUUUUCCUCCUAUAAGACUUUGUCCAGGCUUGUCCCUUGCUACAAAAGGGAUUGUGCCACUUUGCUGCACCAUUGCUACUUUUGUUACUUGUUGCUUGUUGCGAAUCAUCUCACCACACAACCACUUGUUACCGAUAAUUUCAGUGCCUGCAGAUAUUACCUUGCUGAAAACCACUUGUCAGAUCCUUCUGCUCCUCAUUGGGUUCGACACUCUUACUUGUAGAAAGGACUACGAUAGAUCCCCUAUACUUGUGGGUCAUCAGCCCCCCAUCACGAGGCCUCGCAAGCUGCUCCCUAUGGAGGACUCACUCCAAGCUGCACACCUCAAAGGAGCUAAGUCUAAAACACCCCUCGGGUUUUAUACCUCUCAUUCACCUCUCAAGGCAUCUUGAUUUCCUUGGCACGAGACGCCUACACGUCAAGGGGGACCCUGAGCAUCGUGCCUUAGGGACUCCUACCAUCCCUAAGAUCCCUACACCAUGUGGCCUUGUUGAGCGCAUGCUCUACACAUACCAGCAACGGUUGUAGCCCGUCCCGGGGGCUGGGUCCAAGCGACACAAGGCACAAAGGCAACCUAAAAGGGAAAUAAAGGCCUCGAGAGGAAAACAAAAACACAUAAAACAUCAACUACUUAAGACAAAAGUGCCAUAAGAAUGUUUUCACACACCCACGAGGCUGCAUAUACUUUAUUACAGCAAUGCGCCAAGGGGAGUCUAGGCGGACGAGGCACCACUGUCGUUACUCUCGCCAUCAUUGUGAGGGGUCUCUCUACCACAACCGAUGUGAUCCCUCGCAACCUCUCGUCUGAAACCAAAGUGACUAUCGAGGCAGAGAAGGUUGUCGAAAAGUCGCAUCGUCGCCAGGGUCAACAAGUCACGACACGCCUCCUCGACGAUGGCGUCCACAUCAAGCAGUUGCUUCUUGAGGUCGUCGACCUCGGCCUAGAGCUUGCCCCGCUGGCCCGUGAGGCCCUUCUGUUCAUCGAGAGUAGCCUGGGCGGAAACCAACUUGCACUCCUUCGCCAAUAGGCGCUCCCGCUCUGCCUCCCACGCAGACGGGAAAGACGAUAACUCGCGCUCCCGGGUCUCGAUGUUCGCCUCGCGGGAGGCGACCGCCCUGGGGCGCCUCAAGACCUCCUCCUCAUGUUUUGUGAGCUCGACUUAGCAGGGCGUGGGACAGCUCUCGGAGGCCUCCAUAGCCUCCUCCCGCAUUUUGAGCGGACGCUCGCAUAAAGCAGGUGGUUCCUAGAGCAUCUUCUCGUCGGCAUGAGGCCCCCUCCCGUUGUCGCUUGGCCUCCUGGCAUUAUCGAGGGCCUUCAUGAGGGACACAUGGGCAUCUUUGGCGAGCUAAUCGUGAUAUGCUUGCGCCUCCUCACCCUGCUGACGGUCUAGCUUCAUCGCCUUCUCAAGCCGGCUCUUCCCCUUCUCCAAGCGUCGCCGCUCCUCCGCGUAGAGCUUUGCCUCUGUGCGCCCCUGGGAGAGUGCCUCCCGAUCCUCGACAGCCUCGCCCUCACCCUCAAGCCGAAGCUCGCCCUCCUCCUUGCCUCCCACCAGUUUUUUCUCCAGGCACGUCGGGGCGACGGGCGAGACGACCGACUCCUUGCUGAUUGCGUUGGGUUCCCUCCAGGCUCAAAUGGUGAUGUAGCACAUCGAAGACAAGUAUUUCCCUCAGUUAUGAAACAAAGGUAUCAAUCUAGUAGGAAGAUCCACAAGACUAUGUAAGCGACACAUGCACACAAAUAGCAAAUCCUUGCAAGCCAACGCGUGGAGAGGUCAUCAAUCCCUCGUGGGUAAAGUAAGGAUAGAUUGAUAUAUGCAAAUAAGAAUGAUAGCAAAUAAAAUGCAGCAUGGUAUUUUUGUUUUUUUAUAAUAUAGAUCUGAAAAUAAAAGAGAAAACAAAAUAGAAACAUGAAUAGCAAAUUAGAGGUUGCAAAUAGAUGAUGUGAAGUAGAUCCGAUGGCCGUAGGUUUCACUAGUGGCUUCUCUUGAGAAAAUAGCAAACGGUGGGUAGACAAAUUAUUGUUGGGCAAUUGAUAGAAGAGCAGAAAAUUAAGACGAUAUUCAAGACAAUGAUCAUGUGUAUGUUGGAAAUAUGCCCUAGAGGCAAUAAUAAAAUAGUUAUUAUUAUAUUUCCUGUUUCAAGAUAAUCGUUUAUUAUCCAUGCUAUAAUUGUAUUGAAUGAAAGCAUAGAUACAUGUGUGGAUAUAUAGACAAAACAAUGUCCCUAGUAAGCCUCUAGUUGGCUAGCCAGUUGAUCAAGCAUGGUUAAGGUUUUUUGACCAUAUGCAAGUGUUGUCACUUGAUGACCGGAUCACAUCAUUAGGAGAAUGAUGUGAUGGACAAGACCCAAACUUUGAACGUAGCAUGUGAUCGUGUCAUUUUGUUGCUAUUGUUUUCUGCGUGUCAAGUAUUCAUUCCUAUGACCAUGAGAUCAUGUAACUCACUGACACCAGAGGGAUACCUUGUGUGUAUCAAACGUCGCAACGUUACUGGGUGACUAUAAAGGUGCUCUAUAGGUAUCUCCGAAGGUGUCCGUUGAGUUAGCAUGGAUCAAGACUGGGAUCUGUCACUCCGUGUGACGGAGAGGUAUCUCGGGGCCCACUCGGUGAUACAACAUCACAUAUAAGCCUUGCAAGCAAUGUGACUCAAGUGUUAGUCACGGGAUCUUGUAUUACUGAACGAGUAAAGAGACUUGCCGGUAACGAGAUUGAAAUAGGUAUAGGGAUACCGACGAUCAAAUCUCGGGCAAGUAACAUAGCGAAGGACAAAGGUAAUGGUAUACGCUAUUAUAUGAAUCCUUGGCACAGAGGUUCAACCGAUAAGAUCUUCAUAGAAUACGUAGGAUCCAAUAUGGGCAUCCAGGUCCCGCUAUUGGAUAUUGAACGGGGAGUGUCUCAGGUCAUGUCUGCAUAGUUCUCGAACCCGCAGGGUCUGCACACUUAAGGUUCGGUGACGUUUCGGUAUAGUUGAGUUAUAGGUGUUGGUGAACGAAGGUUGUUCGGAGUCCCGGAUGAGAUCACGGACGUCAGGAGGGUUUCCGUAAUGGUCUGGUAACGAAGAUUGAUAUAUAGGAUGGUUUCAUUUGGUCUCUGGAAAGAUUUCGGGCAUUACCGACAGUGUACCGAGAGUGACGAAUGCAUUUCAGGUUUUCACCGGGAGGGGCCCACCCACCCGGGAGAGAGCCUAAUAGCCCAAGGGUGGCGCACCAGCCCUUAGUGGGCUGGUGAGGCCAGCCCAAGUGGGCUAUGGCGGCUAAGGAGAAAAAACCAAAGAGAAAGAAAAAAAGGGGAGGUGGGAAGGAAGAGGAGGAAUCCUCCUUCCCCAAACCGAAUCGGAGUUGGAGUCCUCCUCUCCUCUCUCGGUCGGCGCCCUAGGGGCUCCCUUGAGCCCCAAGGCUAGCCCCUCCCCUCCUCCUAUAUAUACUAGAGGUUUUAGGGUUUUUGAGACACAACUUUGCCACGUGCAACUCAAACCUCUACUUCAUAGUUCUUCCUCUAGAUCGGUUUUCUGCGUAGCUCAGGUGGAGCCCUGCAGGAAUAGAUCAUCACCAUCACCGGCGCACCAUCACGCUGCCGAAGAACUCAUCUACUUACCCGUCUAUCUUGUUGGAUCAAGAAGGCGGAGAUCGUCAUCGAGCUGUACGUGUGCUGAACGCGGAGGUGCCGUCCGUUCGGCGCUAGAUCGGAACGGAUCGUGGGACGACGGUGAUAUGAAUCACGAAGCUGUACCACUACAUCAACCGCGUUUCUUAACGCUUCCCGCUUAGCGAUCUACAAGGGUAUGUGGAUCCGAUCUCCCUCUCGUAGAUGAACAUCAUCAUGAUAGGUCUUCGUGUGCGUAGGGAUUUUUUUGUUUCCCAUGCAACGUUCCCCAACAGUGGCAUCAUGAGCUAGGUUCAUGCGUAGAUGUAAUUUCGAGUAGAACACAAAAAUUUUUGUGGGCGUUGAUGUUCAAUUUGCUGCCCUCCUUAGUCUUUUCUCGAUUCGACGGUAUUGUUGGAUUGAAGCGGCCCGGACCAACAUUACUCGUACGCUUACGAGAGACCGGUUUCAUCGACUAACAUGCAACUUGUUGCAUAAAGAUGACUGGCGGGUGCCUGUUUCUUCAACUUUAGUUGAAUUGGAUUUGACCGAGGCGGUCCUUGGAUAGAGGUUAAAUAGAAAUUUGCAUAUCUCCGUUGUGGUUUUUGCGUAAGUAAGAUGCGAUCAUACUAGAUACCAGUAGCAUCCACGUAAAACAUGCAACAACAAAUUAGAGGACGUCUAACUUGUUUUUGUAGGGUAUGCUUGUGAUGUGAUAUGGCCAAAGACAUGAUGUGAUAUAUUGGAUGUAUGAGAUGAUCAUGUUGUAAUAGUUAAUAUCGACUUACACGUCGAUGCUACGGCAACCGACAGGAGCCAUAGGGUUGUCUUCAAACUAACGUUUGUGUUUGCAGAUGCAUUUACUAUAUUGCUAGGUUGUAGCUUUAGUCGUAAUAGCAUAGAUAGCACGACAACCGCGAUGGCGGCACGAUGAUGGAGAUCAUGGUGUGGCGCCGGUGACGAUGAAGAUCAUGCCGAUGCUUUGGUGAUGGAGAUCAAGAAGCACAAGAUCAUGGCCAUAUCAUGUCACUUAUGAACUGCAUGUGAUGUUAAUCCUUUUAUGCACCUUAUCUUGCUUAGAAUGACGGUAGCAUUAUAAGGUGAUCCCUCACUAAAUUUCAAGAUAAAAUUGUGUUCUCCCCGACUGUGCACCGUUGCGACAGUUCAUUGUUUUGAGACACCACGUGAUGAUCGGGUGUGAUAGACUCAACGUUCACAUACAACGGGUGCAAAACAGUUGCACACGUAGAACACUCGGGUCAAACUUGACGAGCCUAGCAUGUGCAGACAUGGCGGGGGGGGGGGGGGGGCAAGAGACCGAAAUGUCGAGCAUGAAUCGUAUAGUUGAUAUGAUUAGCACAGAUAUGUUUACCACUGAAACUACACUCAACUCACGUGAUGAUCGGACUUGAGUUAGUGAAUUUGGAUCAUGCCACACUCAAGUAACUAGAGGGAUCUCUAUUUGAGUGGGAGUUUAUUAGUAAUUUGAUUAGUUAAACUCUAAUUGUCUUGAACAUAGUCUAAGUCCACUUUGCAAUAUUUUAUGUUGUAGAUCAAUGGCUCACGCAGUAGCAACCCUGAAUUUCAAUACGUUCCUGGAGAAAGCUAAGCUGAAAGAUGAUGGUAGCAACUUUGUAGACUGGGCUCGUAAUCUUAGGAUCAUCCUACAAGCUGGGAAAAAGAAUUAUGUCCUUGAUGCUGCACUAGGAGAUGAACCACCCACUACGUCUGAUCAAGAUGUUUUGAACGCUUGGCAAUCACAUAAGGAGGACUACUCAGUAGUUCAAUGUGCAGUCUUGUAUGGCUUGGAACCGGGACUUCAACGAUGCUUUAAACGUCAUGGAGCAUAUGAGAUGUUCCAGGAGUUGAAGUUUAUCUUUCAGAAGAACGCCCGGAUCGAGAGGUAUGGGACCUCCGAUAAAUUCUAUGCUUGCAAAAUGGAGGAGAAUUCGUCUGUUAGUGAACAUGUGCUCAAAAUGUCUGGGUAUUCAAAUCAUCUAGCCGAGUUGGGGAUUGAACUCCCGCAAGAGGCUAUCAUUGACAGAAUUGUUCAAUCACUGCCACCUAGCUAUAAGAGCUUUGUGUUGAACUAUAAUAUGCAAGGGAUGAACAAGUCACCCCGCGAGUUAUUCACGAUGCUGAAAGUCGCAGAGUCAGAACUCCGGAAAGAACAUCAAGUGUCGAUGGUCAAUAAGACCACUGGUUUCAAGAGAAACAACAAAGGCAAGAAGGGUAACUCCAAGAAGAGCGGCAAAACAGUUGCCAAUCCGACGAAGAAACCCAAGGCUGGACCUAAGCCGGAAACAUGGUUCUAUUAUUGCAAGGGGAUGGGUCACUGGAAGCGCAACUGCCCCAAGUAUUUGGCUGAUAAGAAGUCGGCCAACGCCAAACCAGGUAUAUGUGAUAUACAUGUUAUUGAUGUGUACUUAACCAACUCUCGUAGUAGUGCCUGGGUAUUUGAUACCGGUUCUGUUGCUCAUAUUUGCAACUCAAAGCAGGAACUGCGGAAUAAACGAAGGUUGGCGAAGGAUGAAGUGACGAUGCGCGUGGGAAAUGGUUCCAAGGUUGAUGCAAUCGCCGUCGGCACAGUCUCACUUCAGUUACCAUCAAGAUUAGUUAUGAACUUAAAUAAUUGUUAUUUAGUGCCUGCGUUAAGGAUGAACAUUAUAUCUGGAUCUUUUUUAUUACGAGACGGAUACUCAUUUAAGUCAGAGAAUAAUGGUUGUUCUAUUUUUAUGAGUAAUAUCUUUUAUGGUCAUGCACCCAAUGUGAGGGGUUUGUUCAUAUUGAAUGUUGAUUGUGAGUUAACAAUGAUAGCGCCACCUUUUUGUGGCACUUCUGCUUAGGUCAUAUUGGUGUAAAGCGCAUGAAGAAACUCCAUGCUGAUGGGCUUUUGGAGUCACUUUAUUUUGAAUCACUUGACAUGUGCGAACCAUGCCUCAUGGGAAAGAUGACUAAGACCCCGUUCUCUGGAACAAUGGAACAUGCAAGUGACUUGUUGGAGAUCAUACAUAAUGAUGUGUGCGGUCCAAUGAGUGUGGAGGCGCGUGGCGGAUAUCGUUAUUUUCUCACCUUCACUGAUGAUUUGAGUAGGUAUGGAUAUAUCUACUUGAUGAAGCACAAGUCUGAAAUGUUUGAAAAGUUCAAGCAAUUUCAGAGUGAAGUGAAAAUCAUCGUAACAAGAAUAUCAAGUUCCUACGAUCUGAUCGAGGGGGUGAGUAUCUGAGUUUCGAGUUCGAUGCUCACUUAAGACAAUGUGGAAUCGUUUCACUGUUGACACUUCCUAGAACACCACAGUGUAAUGGUGUGUCCGAACGUCAUAAUCGUACUUUGUUAGAUAUGGUGCGAUCUAUGAUGUCUCUUACCGAUUUGCCAUUAUCGUUUUGGGGUUAUGCAUUAGAGACAGCUGCAUUCACUUUAAAUAGGGCACCAUCAAAAUCCGUUGAGAUGACACCAUAUGAGCUAUGGCAUGGCAAGAGGCCAAAGUUGUCGUUUCUUAAAGUUUGGGGAUGCGAUGCUUAUGUCAAAAAGCUUUAGCCUGAAAAGUUGGAACCCAAAGCGGAAACGUGUUUCUUCAUAGGUUACCCAAAAGAGACAGUUGCGUACACCUUCUAUCUCAGAUCCGAGGGCAAAGUGUUUGUUGCUAAGAAUGGAUCUUUUCUUGAGAAGGAGUUUCUCUCGAAAGAAUUGAGUGGGAGGAAGAUAUAACUUGAUGAGGUUGUGGAACCUUUGCUCCCUCUAGAUGGUGGCGUAGGGCAGAGAGAAAUCUCUGUCGAGGCAACACCGGUUGAGGAAGAAGCUAAUGAUGAUGAUCAUGAAGCUUUGGAUCAAGUUACUAUCGGACCUCGCAGGUCGACAAGAUCACGUACUGCUCCUGAGUGGUACAGGAAUCAUGUCUUAUCGAUCAUGUUGUUAGACAACAAUGAACCUGUGAAUUAUGAAGAAGCAAUGGUGGGCCCGGAUUCCAACGAAUGGCUGGAGGCCAUGAAGUCCGAGAUAGGAUCUAUGUAUGAAAACAAAGUAUGGACUUUGGAAGUAUUACCUGAAGGUCAUAAGGCUAUUCAGAACAAAUGGAUCUUUAAGAAGAAGACGAACGCGGACGGUAAUGUGACCGUUUAUAAAGCUCGACUUGUGGCAAAGGGUUUUUCACAAGUUCAAGGAGUUGACUACGAUGAGACGUUCUCACUGGUAGAAAUGCUUAAGUCCGUCCGAAUCAUGUUAGCAAUAGCUGCAUUUUUCGAUUAUGAAAUCUGGCAGAUGGAUGUCAAAACGGCGUUCCUUAAUGGUUUUCUUAAGGAAGAGUUGUAUAUGAUGCAACCCGAAGGUUUUGUCGAUCCAAAGAAUGCUAACAAAGUACGCAAGCUCCAGCGAUCCAUUUAUGGACUGGUGCAAGCAUCUCGGAGUUGGAAUAAGUGCUUUGAUGAGGUGAUGAAGUGUAAGGACUAAGAUGCGGUCCUUUUCGGUUUAGGGGAACGAGGCCCCAAAGAGGAAAGAAGCGCAUCUAAGCGUUUCGCAAACACGGUAACAUAGCACAUACAUAAUAAUAGAAUGACAAUUAGGGAUUCAACUGCCAUAUCAUAAAUAAUAUUAGAGUUUACAUCACGCAUCCAAGCAAGGUAGUUCCGCUAUGGACUACAAAACAUGAGAAAUGACUAUGUUACCCUGCAUGCUUGCCCACGAUCACGACCACGCCUCAGUCUUUUGGACAGUUCACGUACAGGCGGUCGUUCUCCUCAUCGUACUGCCACGCCAGCUACGUGUCGUCGGGAUCACCUGUCUCGGGGGUACCUGAACCUAUUGGUGCGUUGAAGUAAUAUGUGAGCCACGGGGACUCAACAAUCUAUGACCUCGGUGCUAGAACUAGUCAAGUUAAUAGGUAAGGAAGGUGGAGUAUUUAGGUUGCAACAUCCUAAGCAUAUAUGGUGGCUAACUUACGUAGAGCAAGUAUUGAAGAUGGUCUAUACUAGCAAUCGAUGAUUAGCUGAUCACUAAGUGAUCCUGAACACCUACUUAUGUCAAUCAUAACCCCACCGUGUUCCCGAUCGAAGAGAAGUCUUCGAAGGGGACAAUCACGGUUACACAAACAGUUGGCAAUUUUAUUAGCUUAUGUUUAAGUUAUCUAUAAGCGGAUGUUAACAAAUAUUCCAAGUUGCCACAUAACCGCGGGCACGACUUUCCGAAAUAUUAAACCCUGCAGGCGUGCUCCAACUAGUCCAUCACAAAUGGUCACGGGCCGCAAAGUAAUCCUCUAUCACGAAUCUCGUGAUCUCGUCGGAUUCCUUAGAGGAAAACCUCAACUCUGGGGAGAACCAAAGCUUCACCGGGAUUCCUAUACACAAGAUAUAUCGCUAAGGUAAGACAAGAUUAGCAGGACCUCCCGUCGUGUCGACGACCCCGAUAAGAGCCGCGUAUCUCAGUCUCAGGACACGACGGAUGAGCUACGCGCACGAUGGCCUGAUAGAAAUCACUCAAGUUGCCCUGAGUUGGCCCCGAACAGUGCUCAUUUUGGACCAACACUCAUGAGGAGCACUGGCCCGGGUUGUUGAUUAACUCCUCGGGGUGAUCAUUCCCUAUGCAGAUUAUUAUUAAGUGAUUAGCAAAUUAACACCAAUGUUGGGUCCCUCCGGACAAGUCUUAACACUACACGAUUUAUCAAGGGGGUCCCCAUAACAACCCCGAACGUGUUAGGAGCGAACAGUUAUGGAAUCAAACACUCGUAGCCGGAAACUAUGGCGGCAAUAACGGAACAAAACACCCGGAAAAAGGCUAAGCCUUCCGUUAUUUACCAAGUAUAUAGGUGCAUUAAUUAAAUAAUAGAUUAACAUAAUGAUAUCAACUGAUGUUAUCACAUGAGACAAAGCACCUGCAACUAGCAACGCUGACAUUAGUAGCUGAGCAAAGCCUACUUAGCCGUUCAAGAUUUGCUAGGAGGGGAAAGUGUUUGGUUUUCAUGGCAAUAUUCAGGAGGCAAUUAUUUCAGUGGUAGGCAGCGAGCAUAUGACAAGGAAACGUGAAUCUAGCAUAACAAGUCUAGAGAUGGAAUCAAGAUCAUAUCAUCUUGCGUGUGAUGUCCUCAGCUUGGAAUUGCUCUGGUUCGUCCUGCACGUACUCUCCCGGAUCCACGUACUCAUUCUCUGAUCCCGGUGCUACCCAACAUAAAAAUAACAUCCAAUGAAUAACAACACUUCAAGAUGCAACAAGCACAUGAUGCAUGAGAUGAAAAUGAACAUGCACCUCUAUUGUACUCACUUGAACAUGCUUGAGAAGGAGAUACAAGUUCCUGGACAAAACUGCACUCUAAGCUAUCUUGUCAUGUAUGAGGAUGACAUGAACAGAAGCGUCACGCGAAAAUGAUGCAAAAACAUAUAAAGAACGUUACGUUCGGAGCUACGGAUCAACCGGAAACAAUGAAACAAGAAAUAGAGUCCUACGUGUCAAAUUCGUCACCACACACUCCAAUGGCAUACUUCUGCUAUUCCCAGGUUGCCAUAUCACAAAACAAACAAGAAUGGAUGGGGUGGUGCAAAGAAUACCACCACACCAUCAACUAUGCACUCCCAAGCAUCAAACAUCAAAACUAUACAAUCUGCCAUAAGCAACAUCAUAGCAGUUUGAGAGCUACAUGCAAAGCACCUACAGCUGCCCAAAUAUGCCAAAUAGGAUAUGUGGCAGAAGCUAUCCAAGAGUACUAGAAGCAUGAGCAAAAAUCUAAUUCGAAGGAGUUUCAUACGGAAAGUUACACAGCUGCUAACUUGGCCAAAAAUAUUAGUUUCCAGGGACUUAGUGAAAAUCUCAGAUUCUCACUAGCUGUUUAUGCUCUGAAGCAUUUUGACAGCACCCAAAACAAUAUCUACAGGAUUCCAAAUGGAAUGAAAAUUGACAGAUAGCUAUACAAAUACAAAAUCUACAACUUCCCAGUUGAUAGCUAGGGCUGAUUCCCAACACAUGGUCUUCUACAAGCACAACAACAGGAGAAGAAAAUAUAAGCAGAUUCCCAGACUUAGUGAAAAUCUGUGAUUUUCACUAAACUGGAAUUUUUAGUCACAUGCCUACUUUGACUAGGCACAACUUGCACACAUGAACUCCUAAGCAUGAAACAAAACCAACAUGUGGUAGAAGGGUUCACCCUCUACCGCCACAACAAAGAAUCAACCUCUUGGGCUCAUCACAUCACAUGGAACCAAGCUCUAAACAUGGAACAAAACUGAAAUAUGACAUUCCCAGAAAGUGUUCCAAAGGCAAAACUUACUUCACCAAUGGAUUCAUGGGAUGAUUCUACCCCAAAAACAUAUAUAAUACAUAUGCACUUGCAUAGAAUAAUUGGGCACAAGGCUAAGAAGAAGAUAAGCAUGGAUUCACAAGGUGUGAAUAGUGCAUCAUCACAUGUGCUAUUCAGUAAAACAACACCUACAUAUCCACUUGCACACUAUCAACACUACAAUGGUGCACAUGAGGGUUAUCCCUCAUGCUCAUGUGCCUUAGCAAACCACCACACACACACACAAGCAUCAAGCACAACAUAAUAUAAACACCUACACAUGCUAAUGGGAACACCCACACUAGAUUACACCACAACAUCUAUACACCUUCACAUAUAAACAUGCUCAUGUGCUCAUCAAGGCACUCCAUGCCUUGAGCAUGUGUGGGACACACACACACCAUCUCACACAACAACACAAGAGCACCUACAUAUACACAAGGUAGGUGAGGGCGGAAACCCACACACACACUCACAUCACAUACUUGCACAAGAUAGGACAUAAGNNNNNNNNNNNNNNNNNNNNNNNNNNUGCAUAUCUAUAGCCUAGUGCAACACACAACUAAACACACCCACACAUACAUGUCAUCUAGCUCACAAUGCACAUACAUACAUAUCACUACACAUGCAUAUUUACAUAGCUAGAGAAAUACUAGGAACCUGCUAGAAUAAAUCCAGCAACCAAAACUUGCCUCACAAGCAUGCUGCAGUACAAUAUAGCAAGCAAACAAAACAAACAGGGAAGAAAUGCACAAAAAAAGGACAGGGGAGGGAUCGAACCCUAGAGCCCCUGAUCACCACCUGCACCUCAUACCACUGCGCUAUGGAACAGUCACUUGACAGAUAAGGAAAGCCUAGCAGGAUAAGGUGAUACACGCUGCUCUGUUACUGUGCCGAGAGAAAAAUAGCACAAAAAGGGGGGUUUGGCGCCGCGGGGAUUCGAUCCCACAACCACCUGAUCCACAACAAACACUGCACCACUAUGCCGCGCUACUAUACUUGACAGAGAGGAGGAACUCUCCAAGGUAAGACAUCGAAGCCGGCCUGCUCUGCUACUCACAGAGACGCCGACGGCAGCAAGCCACCGGAGCAAACCUACUUGCUCUACUGCUGCUCUACGCGCGGGGAUCCAUCUACACUACAACUACUACGCUGUUGGAGGCCCCGAGCCACGACGAGCCAAGCACAACAACACAAGAACGACACACCACCUGCACCUGCCCUCGUGCUCUUCUCUGAACAGAGAGGCACGACCUCGAUCUCCUACGCGCAACUACCGAGGAAGAAAAGAGGAAGAUACUAGCUCUCACCUAGGGGAAGGAGGAGAGGUUGCCGAUCGGGGAAGAGGCCUGCCUGGAGAAGAACGAAGACGACCUGAAGCGCCUGACGAAGAACUCUGCAGAACCAAAGCAGGGAGGAACAGGCCGCCGGGAACACGCCGUUGACGUGGUCCUGCCCGUCGCUGUGGUCGCGCUUUGACCUCAACAACAACGGGAAUGGAACGCGGGGCCUACCCCCGAGCCCCCUGACAUGAUGGCCGACACCGAAGGCGGCGGAUGCACGGGAUCGACGACGGCGCACUACUGCCCUCUAUGUGUACCUGGAUCUACAGGAGCUUACCUUGGGGAAGGAGGAGAAGGAUGGAGACGGCAGCGCUAGAUGGGGGAAGCAUGGAACCCUAGGGCAAGGGGGCACGAACGCCGAGGGUUAUAAGAGGGCCUCGACGUCUGUGAGCCCUCACGGCAUGCUCGCUCCCUCUCUGCUGCGUGACGGAAAGCGACGCACGGGGAGACGCCGUCUGAAGAAGGAGAAGGAACGCGUGCCUGGGCUGCCGCGGGGGGGGGGGAGAGAAGCUAGGCCUGCUAGUGGGAGGAGGCCCACUAGUUGGCGCCAGGUAGAAGGAAAUAAACCCAUGGGGUUUAUUAAUUAAGCCAAGACCAGACAAACAAAACAAAUGCACAUGCUAAACAGAUAAAGCUAAAAUUAAAUCAAAAAUACCCCUGGUCAUAAGAAAUUAUGACCUAUUUAAAUAAAAUAGAAAAGAAAUAUUUGGAGCAAUUAAAUAUUUACAAAACAACAUUUAUAUGAUAUGUUUUGGGAAUAUUUGCACCUUUAAAAUAUAGAUUCAAAACAACCAAUUCACAUCUUCACAUCCACCACAAAGUAUACUAAAUCAUGGACAUUUUUUAAAACAAGGAUGGGACAAGUGAAGCUUGACCUUGAGAUAAAUAAAGAGGAAGAUGGUUUUGAAGCCUAUGCAAACCACAUAGUUUCCUACUAGCAAUUGCACCACUCCAUUACUCACAUACACUAUCAUCACAUGACAUAUUCAACACACCACAUACCCACAUGGAUUCACAAAGGCACAAACACAAGACAUGGGUGAAUGAUAGAUGCAUGCAAGCAAAGGAAGAACAAAACAAUGUGACAUCACAUGAAAUCAUAUGCAUUGAGCUCUCAUAUCAAUGACAAGGUGGACCCACAUAGAGAAGGUUCCAGAUAUGGCAAGAUACACUCUUGGGGCAUUACAUGAAGGCAUUUGGGUUUAUACAAGUUAUUGGAGAAUCUUGUAUUUACAAGAGAGUGAGUGGGAGCUUUGUAGAGUUUCUUAUAUUAUAUGUGGAUGACAUAUUGCUGAUUGGAAAUAAUGUGGAGUUUUUAGAGAGCGUAAAGGAUUACUUGAACAAAUGUUUUUCAAUGAAAGACCUAGGAGAAGCUGCUUACAUAUUAGGCAUUAAUAUCUAUAGGGAUAGAUCGAGGUGCCUAAUAGGACUUUGACAAAGCACAUACCUUGAUAAAGUUUUGAAGAAGUUCAAAACGGAGCAGUCCAAGAAGGGGUUCUUGCCAGUGUUACAAGGUAUAAAGUUGAGUAAGACUCAGUGUCCGGUAACCGCGGAAGAUAGAGAAAAGAUGAGUAGCGUCCCCUAUGCUUCAACCAUCGGGUCUAUCUUGUAUGCAAUGUUAUGCACAAGACCGGACGUCAGCCUGGACAUAAGUAUGGCACGCAGGUUUCAAAGUAAUCCAGGAGUGGAUCACUGGACGACGGUCAAGAAUAUUCUGAAAUACCUGAAAAGGACUAAGGAAAUUUUUCUCGUUUAUGGAGGUGACGAAGAACUCGUCGUAAAGGGUUACGUCGAUGCAAGCUUUCACAUUGAUCCGGAUGACUCUAAGUCUCAAUCCGGAUACAUAUUUGUUCUUAAUGAGGGUGCGGUAAGCUGGUGCAGUUCCUAGCAAAGCGUCGUAGCAGAUUCUACAUGUCAAGUGGAGUACAUGGCUUCCUCGAAGGCAGCUAAGGAGGGUGUCUCGAUGAAGCAAUUCAUGACGGAUUUUGGAGUUGUGUCGAGUGCACUAAAUCCAAUAACUCUGUUCUGUGACAACACUGGUGCCAUUGCUCUAGCCAAGGAACCAAGGUUUCACAAGAAGACCACACACAUCAAAGGACGCUUGAUACGUCUCCAACGUAUCUAUAAUUUUUGAUGGUUCCAUGCUAUUAUAUUGUCUUCUUUGGAUGUUUUGCAUGCCUUUUAUAUAUUUUUUGGGACUAACUUAUUAACUCAGUGCCAAGUGGUAGUUCCUGUUUUUUCCAUGUUUUUGACCCUUUUUCAGACGGAGUCCAAAUGGAAUGAAACUUUACGAUGAUUUUUUUGGACCAAAAGAUACCCCCAAAGCUUUGGAAGAAGGCCAGAAGAGCCACGAGGGAGUCACAAGCCCAUGUUAUGCGGCCUACCCCCCUGGUCGCACCGUGCAGGCUUCUGACCUCCUUGUGGGCCCAACUGACUCAAUUCCACCGCCAUAAAUUCCUAUAAAUUCAGAAACCCCCAGAAAGAAACCUAGAUCGGGAGUUCCGCCGCCGCAAGCCUCUGUAGCCACCAAAAACCAAUCUGGAGCCCGUUCCGGCACCCUGCCGAAGGGGGAAUCCAUCUCCAGUGGCCAUCUUCAUCAUCCCGGCGAUCUCCAUGACGAGGAGGGAGUAGUUCUCCCUCGGGGCUGAGGGUAUGUACCAGUAGCUAUGUGUUUGAUCUCUCUCUCUCUCGUGUUCUUGAGAUGUCUUGAUCUCGAUGUACCGUGGGCUUUGCUACUAUAGUUGGAUCUUACGAUGUUCUUCCCCCUCUCCCUUCUUGUAAUGAAUCGAGUUUCCCCUUUGGAGUUAUCUUAUCGGUUUGAGUCUUUGAGAGCACUUGAUGUAUGUCUUGAACCUGUCUAUCUACUUUGAUCAACCUGCGGGUUUGUGACAAUUGGGAACCUAUGCAUAUGGUUGGCACACGUGGAUUCAUGUGAGUACUCGAUGUAUGUUUUGGUGAUCAACUUGUGGGUUCGUGACAUUGGGAACCUAUGCAUAGGGGUUGGCACACGUUUUGACUCUCCGGUAGAAACUUUGGGGCACUCUUUGAAGUUCUAUGUGUUGCUUGAAUAGAUGAUUCUGAGAUUGUGUGAUGCAUAUCGUAUAAUCAUGCACACGGAUACUUGAGGUGACAAUGGAGUAUUGAUACGUCCAUUUUGCAUCAUGCUUUCAUGUUGAUAUUUAUUGCUUUUUGGGCUGUUAUAUUACUUGUGGUACCAUAUUUAUGCCUUUUCUCUCUUAUUUUGCAAGGUUUAUUUGAAGAGGGAGAAUUCAGGCAGCUGGAAUUCUGGACUGGAAAAGGAGCAAAUCCUAGUCCACUAUUCUGCACAUCUCCAAAUGCCCUAAAAAGUUACGUGGAUUUUUUUGGGAUUAUAUAAAAAAUAUGGGGCGAAAGAACUACGGGAGGGGGGCUACCAGGGCGCCACAAGCCCUGACACCGCCACCCCCUGGUGGCGGAGUGGGGGCUUGCGGGUUCCCUGACGGCCCACUAGCCCCCCUCUUUUGCUAUAUGAAGCGUCCUGGUCCAGAAAAAAAUCAAUUAGGAGCUUUUUCGUGGUUUCGCCGCCGCCAUGAGGCGGAACUUGAGAAGAUCCAAUCUAGAGCUCCGGCAGGACGAUCCUGCCUGGGAAACUUCCCUCCCGGAGGGGGAAAUCGUCGCCAUUGUCAUCACCAACACUCCUCUAAUCGGAGGGGAUGCAUCUUCAUCAACAUCUUCAUCAGCACCAUCUCCUCUCCAAUCCCUAGUUCAUCUCUUGUAACCAAUCUUCGUCUCGCUACUCCGAUUGGUACUUGUAAGGUUUCUAGUAGUGUUGAUUACUCUUUGUAGUUGAUGCUAGUUGGAUUACUUGGUGGAAGAGUUUAUGUUCAGAUCCUUGAUGCUAUUCAUUACACCUCUGAUCAUGAUUAUGAUUAUGUUUUGUGAGUAGUUACUUUUGUUCCUGAGGACAUGGGAUAAGUCAUGUUAAUAAUAGUCAUGUGAAUUUGAUAUUCGUUCGGUAUUUUGAUAUGUUGUAUGUUGUCUUUUCCUCUAGUGGUGUUAUGUGAACGUCGAUUACAUAACACUUCACACCAUAUUUGGGCCUAGAGGAAAGCAUUAGGAAGUAGUAAGUAGAUGAUGGGUUGCUGGAGUGACAGAAGCUUAAACCCCAGUCUAUGCGUUGCUUCGUGAGGGGCUGAUUUGGAUCCACUAGUUUAAUGCUAUGGUUAGACUUUGUAUUAAUUAUUUUUUUGGAGUUGCAGAUGCUUGCGAGAGAGGUUAAUCAUAAGUGGGAUGCUUGUCCAAGUAAGGGCAGUACCCAAGCGCCGGUCCACCCACAUAUCAAACUAUCAAAGUAACGAACGCGAAUCAUAUGAACAUGAUGAAACUAGCAUGACAGAAAUUCCCGUGUGUCCUCGGGAGUCUUUUUCCUCCUAUAAGACUUUGUUCAGGCUUGUCCCUUGCUACAAAAGGGAUUGGGCCACUUGCUGCACCUUUGCUACUACUUGUUACUUGUUACUUUUUGCUCGCUACAUUUGACCUCACUACACCAUCACUUGUUACCGCUACUUUCAGUGCUUGCAAUUAUUACCUUGCUGAAAUCCGCUUAUCAGAGCCUUCUGCUCCUCGUUGGGUUCGACACUCUUACUUAUCGAAAGGACUACGAUUGAUCCCCUAUACUUGUGGGUCAUCGAGACUCUUUUCUGGCGCCGUUGCCGGGGAGUGAAGUGCCUUUGGUAAGUGGAAAUUGGUAAGGAAACAUUUUUAUAUUGUGCUGAAAUUUAUUGUCACUUGUCACUAUGGAAACUGUUCCUUUGAGGAGUUUGUUCGUGGUAUAUUCACCACGAACGGAAGCACGAGGAGUUUCUCCUCAACCUGAGGUACCUACUGAAAAUAUCUUUUAUGAAAUUCCUUCGGGUAUGCUUGAGAAACUGCUGGCUAAUCCUUUCACAGGAGAUGGAUCUUCACAUCCAGACUUGCAUCUGAUCUUUGUAGAUGAAGUUUGUGGUUUAUUUAAGCUUGCAGGUUUGCCCGAGGAUGUGGUAAAGAAGAAAGUCUUUCCUUUAUCUUUGAAGGAUAAGGCAUUGACAUGGUAUAUGCUAUGUGAUGAUACUGGAUCAUGGGGCUACAAUCGGUUGAAAUUGGAAUUUCAUCAAAAGUUCUAUCCUAUGCAUUUAGUACAUCGUGAUCGGAACUUUAUUUAUAACUUUUGGCCUCGUGACAGGGAAAGCAUAGCUCAAGCUUGGGGGAGGCUUAAAUCAAUGCUAUAUUCAUGCCCCAAUCAUGAGCUCUCGAGAGAAAUCAUCACUCAAAACUUUUAUGCUCGAUUUUCUCAUGAAGAUGUACCAUGCUUGACACUUCUUGUGCCGGUUCUUUUAUGAAGAAGGAUAUUGAUCACAAGUGGAAUUUAUUGGAGAGAAUCAAACGCAAUUCUGAAGAUUGGGAGCUGGAGGAAGGUAAGGAGUCAAGUAUGAAUUUCCAGUUUGAUUGCGUUAAAUCUUUUGUUGAGACAAACACUUCUAGAGAUUUUAGCACAAAGUAUGGACUUGAGUCUGAGAUAGUAGCUUCUCUAUGUGAAUAUUUUGCUGCUCAUGUUGAUCUUCCCAAAGAGAAGUGGUUUAAAUAUCAUCCUCCUGUAGAAAGCAACAUAGCUAAAACCAAUCUAGUUGAGGAGAAAGUCAUUGCUUUUAGUGAUCAUGUUGUUCCUUGUGCUUACACUGAGAAACCACCAUACCCUCCUAGGAUAAAGGAUUAUUCUAAAGCUCCGAUGAUACGUAGGGGUUACAUUAGACCACUUGCACCCCCUGAGGAGAUUAGAGUUGAACCUAGUGUUGCUAUUAUCAAAGAUCUCUUAGCCGAAGACAUAAAUGGGCAUGUUAUCAAAUUCUGCGAGGACUCUGCUAGAAUUGCUAAACCUCACGCGAAAGACAAACACGGACCUGUAGUUGGCCUGCCCGUUGUUUCUGUUAAGAUAGGAGAUCACUGUUACCAUGGUUUAUGUGAUAUGGGAGCUAGUGUUAGUGCAAUACCCCGUUCUAUAUAUGAUGAAAUCAAAGAUGAGAUUGCACCUGCUGAGUUAGAACCCAUUGAUGUUACUAUUACGCUAGCUAAUAGAGACACUAUCUGCCCUCUGGGAAUUGUGAGAGACGUAGAAGUCCUAUGUGGUAAGACGAAGUAUCCUACUGAUUUCCUCGUCCUUGGUACUGCACAAGAUAGCUUUUGUCCCAUCAUAUUUGGUAGACCCUUUCUCAACACUAUCAACGCUCACAUUGAUUGCAUUAAGCAGACUGUCACAGUUAGUUUCGAGGGUGUGUCUCAUGAAUUUAACUUCUCCAAGUUUGGAAGACAACCCCAUGAAAGAGAGUCGUCCGGUAGGGAUGAAAUCAUUGCUCUUGCCUCUAUUGCCGUACCUCCUACAGAUCCUUUAGAGCAAUAUCUGCUUGAGCAUGAAAAUGAUAUGCAUAUGGAGGAGAGAGAUGAGAUAGAUAAAAUUGUCUUAGAACAAUAUCCUAUUCUCAAGAAUAAUCUGCCUGUUGAACUGCUUGGGGAUCCUCCCCCACCAAAGGGUGAUCCUGUGUUCGAGCUUAAAUAGUUGCCUGAUACUCUUAAGUAUGCCUAUCUUGAUGAGAAGGAGAUAUAUCCUGUCAUUAUUAGUGCUCUCCUCUCAGAGCAUGAAGAGAAGAAGUUACUAAGAACUCUGAGGAAGCACCGCGCUGCUAUUGGAUAUACUCUUGAUGAUCUUAAGGGUAUUAGUCCUACUCUAUGUCAGCACAAGAUUAAAACCGAUCCUGACUUUAAACCAGUUGCUGAUCAUCAAAGGAGAUUAAAUCCUAAGAUGAAAGAGGUCGUUAGAAAAGAAAUAUUAAAGCUUCUGGAAGCAGGAAUCAUUUAUCCUGUUGCUCAUAGUGAUUGGGUAAGUCCAGUACAUUGCGUACCUAAGAAGGGAGGUAUCACCGUCGUUCCUAAUGAUAAGGAUGAACUAAUCCCACAAAGGAUUAUUACCAGCUAUAGAAUGGUGAUAGACUUCCGGAAACUGAACAAGGCAACCAGGGAAGAUCAUUAUCCUUUGUCGUUCAUCAACCAAAUGCUAGAAAGGCUAUCAAAGCACACACACUUCUGCUUUCUAGACGGUUAUUCAGGUUUCUCGCAAAUACCAGUUGCACAAUCUGAUCAAGAGAAAACCACUUUCACCUGCCCUUUCAGUACCUUUGCCUAUAGACGUAUGCCUUUUGGCUUAUGUAAUGCACCCGCCACCUUCCAAAGAUGUAUGAUGGCUAUAUUCUCUGACUUUUGUGAAAAGAUCGUCGAGGUUUUCAUGGAUGACUUCUCUGUUUAUGGGUCCUCCUUUGAUGAUUGCCUCAGCAACCUUGAUCGAGUCUUACAGAGAUGCGAAGAAACCAACCUCGUCUUGAAUUGGGAGAAGUGCCACUUUAUGGUUAAUGAAGGUAUCGUCUUAGGACACAAAAUUUCUGAGAGAGGCAUUGAAGUUGAUAAGGCUAAGGUUGAUGCAAUUGAGAAAAUGCCUUGCCCCACAGAUAUAAGAGGUAUACGAAGUUUCCUAGGUCAUGCUUGUUUCUAUAGAAGGUUCAUUAAAGACUUCUCUAAGAUUUCUAGGCCUCUUACCAACCUCUUGCAGAAGGAUGUUCCUUUUGUUUUUUAUGAGGAUUGUGAGGAAGCUUUCGAAAUACUUAAGAAGGCUUUGAUAACCGCACCUAUUGUUCAACCACCUGACUGGAACUUGACCUUGGAAAUCAUGUGUGACGCUAGUGAUUAUGCUGUUGGUACUGUUCUAGGACAAAGAGUUGAUAAGAAGUUGAAUGUCAUUCACUACCCUAGUAAAACUCUAGACAGUGCCCAAAGAAACUAUGCCACUACGGAGAAGGAAUUUUUAGCAGUCGUGUUUGCAUGCGAAAAGUUGAGAUCUUAUAUAGUUGACUCCAAAGUUACUAUUCACUCUGAUCAUGCUGCUAUUAAGUACCUUAUGGAGAAGAAGGACGCUAAGCCUAGGCUUAUCAGAUGGGUUCUCCUGCUACAGGAAUUUGAUUUGCACGUCGUUGACCGAAAGGGUGCUGAUAACCCUGUAGCAGAUAACUUGUCUAGGCUAGAGAAUGUCCUUGAUGACCCACUACCUAUUGAUGACAACUUUCUUGAUGAGCAAUUAAAUGUCAUCCGCACUUCACUUAGUGCAUCGUGGUAUGCCGAUUAUGCAAACUAUAUCGUAGCCAAAUACAUACCACCCAGUUUCACCUAUCAGCAAAAGCAGAAAUUCUUCUUUGAUUUGAGACACUACUUUUGGGAUGAUCAUCACCUUUAUAAGGAAGGAGUAGAUGGUGUUAUUAGACGUUGUGUGCCUGAACAUGAACAGGGACAAAUCCUGCAGAUGUGUCAUUUCGAAGCCUACGAAGGACACCAUGCUGGAGAUAGAACUGCCCAUAAGGUAUUGCAAACAGGUUUCUAUUGGCCCACUCUCUUCAAGGAUGCUCGUAGGUUUGUCUUGUCUUGUGACGAAUGCCAAAGAAUAGGGAACAUCAGUAAGCGUCGGGAAAUGCCUAUGAACUACUCACUUGUCAUUGAACCAUUUGAUGUCUGGGGCUUUGAUUAUAUGGGACCCUUCCCGAGUUCCAAUGGGUACACUCACAUCUUAGUUGCUGUGUAUUACGUUACUAAGUGGGUAGAAGCUAUCCCCACUAAAAAUGCUGAUCACCACACCUCUAUUAAGAUGCUUAAAGAAGUCAUUUUCCCAAGAUUUGGAGUCCCUAGGUACUUGAUGACUGAUGGCGGUUCACACUUCAUUCAUGGUGUUUUCCACAAGAUGAUAGCUAAGUAUGAUGUCAACCAUAGAGUUGCAUCUCCUUAUAAUCCUUAGUCUAGUGGUCAAGUUGAGUUGAGUAAUAGGGAGAUCAAGUUGAUCUUACAAAAGAUCGUCAACAGAUCUCGAAAGAACUGGUCUAGCAAACUCGACGAUGCACUAUGGGCUUAUAGGACUGCUUAUAAGAAUCCCAUGGGCAUGUCACCGUAUAAAAUGGUUUACGGUAAGGCCUGUCAUUUACCUCUUGAGCUGGAACACAAAGCUUAUUGGGCAAUCAAAGAGCUCAAGUUUGAUUUCAAACUUGCCGGUGAGAAGCGGUUGUUUGAUAUCAUCUCGUUAGAUGAAUGGAGAACCCAGGCAUAUGAGAAUGCCAAGUUGUUCAAGGAAAAGGUUAAGAGAUGGCACGACAAACGAAUACAGAAACGAGAGUUCAAUGUAGGUGAUUAUGUCUUGCUAUACAAUUCUCGUUUGAGAUUCUUUGCAGGCAAGCUUCUCUCUAAAUGGGAAGGUCCCUAUGUUAUCGAGGAAGUAUAUCGUUCCGGUGCCAUCAAAAUCGAUAACACGGAAGGAAAUUUUCCUAGAGUGGUAAAUGGGCAAAGAAUCAAGCAUUACAUCUCUGGUACUCCCAUAAAUGUUGAGACCAAUAUCAUCAAUGUCAUAACUCCAUAGGAGUACAUAAGGGAUGUUUAUCAGCAUGUUUCAGACCUUGAAAACGAAGAUGUAUCUGUUUUGGUAAGAAAUUGGACUCCGAUACUUUUCCAAUAGGAAAUUUCUUCCGUUUUGGAAUUUUUGGAAAAUUAGAAAAAUAAAAAGCAGUCUGUAGAGCGAACGAGGCGGGCACAAGCCCUGCCACCGCCCCUACCCCCUGGUGGCGGAGGGCAAGCUUGUGGGCACCUCAUGUGCCUCCCGGACUCCGUUUUCUUGCGGAGGACUCCUUCUGGCCCAGAAAAAAAUCAAUAUAUAGUCGCCCGAAGGUUUUGAUCUCCGUAUCGCGUAGUUUUCCUCUGUUUUCGUUUAAAGCUUGUUGUCUGCCGCAUAUUUAGAGCAAAGAUGUCUCAGGAAUCUGUUGGGGAGAAUGAUCUUCACCAAGUUCAUGAGGAAGUAGAUGCUGAUAUGAAAAGAGUAGAAGUCACGGAAUCUAGGGACCAAGCUACGGAGAAAACCCAAGCUAGGGAGGAAGUUCAACCUAUGUUCAACAUUGAAGACAUGGAAGGAGUAUAUUUUCUCCAACCCUUCCUCCACGUGCUGUCUCCAUCCUUGAUUGAACUCUUGAGGUUUUGCGAAACAACUCGUGCUCGCAAUAUUUCUCUUUCUCGUGAAGUUGUUUUGCUGGAAAACCAUGUCACAUAUCUCAAAGGUAUAAAUCAAAGAUUGAUAGCUCUCUUGGAAUCAAAGGCGAUAACUCCACCACCAUCACCACUAAAGGAAGACAACUAAGCAUUGGUAUGGGCAAUCCCCUUGGCUUCUGCCAAGCUUGGGGGAGUUGCCCUGGUAUCGUAUCACCUUUAUAUCUUUUGCUUUUACCUUUGUUUUAGUUCUUUCCUUUUCAGUUUUUAUUUCUUCUCUUAGAGGAAUAAGUCUUGUGUUUUUAGUUUGAGUCUUUUGCUUUUGUCUCUCUUCCGAUGUAUUUGAGCUCGCGAGCUAUAUAAUAAAGAGUAUCUUAGUCAAGGGCUUUGCUUUGUGCCUUGAUCAAAAGUAUGAAAAGAACGAUAGCAUGAAAGAUCAUGAGACGAUCUUAUGGAAAGUGAUAACUUCACUUGUGACACGUAUGAUGAUUGAAACUUGUUGAGAAUAAAUCAACAUAUACCUUAGUCAUUGUUGUAAUUAAUAAGAAGUAAUAACGAAAGAGAGGUUCACAUAUAAUAUAUCAUCUUAGACACUUUUUUACAAUUGUGAGCACUCACCAAACUAUUACAUGCUUAGGAGCAGAUGUUGGACAAGGAAGACAACAUAAUGAAUUGUGUUUGCUUGGUUCCAAACAAUGUUAUAUGAUUAGAGAUCCCUUAGCAUGUGACGAUUGCUUCCACCUUAUAUUAGCCAAAACUCCCGCACCAAGUAGAGAUACUACUUGUGCAUCCAUAAACCUCCAACCAGUUUUGCCAUGAGAGUCCACCAUGCCUACCUAUGGAUUGAAUAAGAUCCUUCAAGUAAGUUGUCAUCGGUGCAAGCAAUAAAAAUUGCUCUCUAAUAUGUAUGAUCUAUUAGUGUGUGGAAAAUAAGCUUUGUACGGACCUGUGAUGAGGAAGACAUAAAAGCAAUAGACUGCAUAAUAAAGUUCUUUAUCACAGGAGGCAAUAUAAAGUGACGUUCCUCCGCACUAAGAGGACACGCAUUCAAACCUCAAAAGCGCAUGACAACCUCUGCUUCCCUCUGCGAAGGGCCUAUCUUGUACCUUUACUUUUUGCCCUUGUAAGAGUCAUGGUGAUCAUCACCAAUUCCCUAUUUUUGCCUUUGUCUUGGCUACCGUCACAUGUUUGGGAAAGAUCUAUACUCAUAUAUCAACUUGGAGUUGAGUACUUAUGCUUUAUUGUUGUUGACUUUACCCUUGAGGUAAACCGUUGGGAGGCAAAACUAUAAGCCCCUAUCUUCCUCUGUGUCCAGCUGAAACUUUGACACCAUGAGUACCACGUGAGUUGUAACAAUUGUGGAAAACAAAAGAGAUGAUUGAGUAUGUGGGUUUGCCUUACAAGCUCUUAUUUGAUUCUUUCUGAUGUUGCGAUAAAUUGCAAUUGCUUCAAUGACUAUGGACUAUUGUUGGUGACUUCUCGGUAAGGUUUUUGCUUCAUGCUUUGCUUUGUGAAGGAAUUGUUACUUUCACAUAAGAAUCUUUAUGAUGUAUCGCUGUGUGAUCAUGAUGCCCUCAUGUCCGUAUUAUGUUUUAUCGACACCUUCGACCCUCAACAUGUCGACAUGUUUAGGGAACUUGGUUUUCGCUUGAGGACAAGUGAUGUCUAAGCUUGGGGGAGUUGAUACGUCCAUUUUGCAUCAUGCUUUCAUGUUGAUAUUUAUUGCUUUUUGGGCUGUUAUAUUACUUGUGGUACCAUAUUUAUGCCUUUUCUCUCUUAUUUUGCAAGGUUUAUUUGAAGAGGGAGAAUUCAGGCAGCUGGAAUUCUGGACUGGAAAAGGAGCAAAUCCUAGUCCACUAUUCUGCACAUCUCCAAAUGCCCUGAAAAGUUACGUGGAUUUUUUUGGGAUUAUAUAAAAAAUACUGGGCGAAAGAACUACGGGAGGGGGGCUGCCAGGGCGCCACAAGCCCUGACACCGCCACCCCCUGGUGGCGGAGUGGGGGCUUGUGGGCUCCCUGACGGCCCACUAGCCCCCCUCUUUUGCUAUAUGAAGCGUCCUGGUCCAUAAAAAAUCAAUCGGGAGCUUUUUCGUGGUUUCGCCGCCGCCACGAGGCGGAACUUGAGCAGAUCCAAUCUAGAGCUCCGGCAGGACGAUCCUGCUGGGGAAACUUCCCUCCCGGAGGGGGAAAUCAUCACCAUCGUCAUCACCAACACUCCUCUCGUCGGAGGGGAGGCAUCUUCAUCAACAUCUUCAUCAGCACCAUCUCCUCUCCAAUCCCUAGUUCAUCUCUUGUAACCAAUCUUCGUCUCGCUACUCCGAUUGGUACUUGUAAGGUUGCUAGUAGUGUUGAUUACUCUUUGUAGUUGAUGCUAGUUGGAUUACUUGGUGGAAGAGUUUACGUUCGGAUCCUUGAUGCUAUUCAUUACACCUUUGAUGAUGAUUAUGAUUAUGUUUUGUGAGUAGUUACUUUUGUUCCUGAGGACAUGGGAUAAGUCAUGUUAAUAAUAGUCAUGUGAAUUUGAUAUUCGUUCGGUAUUUUGAUAUGCUGUAUGUUGUCUUUUCCUCUAGUGGUGUUAUGUGAACGUCGACUACAUAACACUUCACCAUAUUUGGGCCUAGAGGAAAGCAUUAGGAAGUAGUAAGUAGAUGAUGGGUUGCUGGAGUGACAGAAGCCUAAACCCCAGUCUAUGCGUUGCUUCGUGAGGGGCUGAUUUGGAUCCACUAGUUUAAUGCUAUGGUUAGACUUUGUCUUAAUUCUUCUUUUGUAGUUGCAGAUGCUUGCGAGAGAGGUUAAUCAUAAGUGGGAUGCUUGUACAAGUAAGGGCAGUACCCAAGCGCCGGUCCACCCACAUAUCAAACUAUCAAAGUAACGAACGCGAAUCAUAUGAACAUGAUGAAACUAGCAUGACAGAAAUUCCCGUGUGUCCUCGGGAGCGUUUUUCCUCCUAUAAGACUUUGUUCAGGCUUGUCCCUUGCUACAAAAGGGAUUGGGCCACUUGCUGCACCGUUGCUACUACUUCUUACUUGAUACUUUUUGCUCGCUACGUUUCACCUCACUACACCAUCAGUUGUUACCUCUACUUUCAGUGCUUGCAGUUAUUACCUUGACGAAAUCCGCUUAUCAGAGCCUUUUACUCCUCGUUGGGUUCGACACUCUUACUUAUCGAAAGGACUAUGAUUGAUCCCCUAUAUUUGUGGGUCAUCAAGUAUCUAGGUGACAUUAGGGUCUUGGUUGAUAUGUAUCUUAAGGUGUUAUUCUAGUACGAACUCUUGAAUAGAUCGAUCAGAAAGAAUAACUUUGUGGUGGUUUCGUACCCGACAAUAAUCUCUUCGUUUGUUCUCUGCUAUUAGUGACUUUGGAGUGACUCUUUGUUGCAUGUUGAGGGCUAGUUAUAUGAUCCAAUUAUGUUAUCAUUGUUGAGAGAACUUCACUAGUGAAAGUAUGAACCCUAGGCCUUGUUUCCACGCAUUGCAAUACCAUUCGUGCUCACUUUUUUUACUAGUUACCUUGCUGUUUUUGUAAUUUCAGAUUACAAAAACCUAUAUCUACCAUCCAUAUUGCACUUGUUUCACCAUCUCUUCGCCGAACUAGUGCACCUAUAAAACUUACCAUUGUAUUGGGUGUGUUGGGGACACAAGAGAGUCUUUGUUGUUUGGUUGCAGGGUUGCUUGAGAGAGACCAUAUUCAUCCUACGGCUCCCGCGGAUUGAUAAACCUUAGGUCACCCACUUGAGGGAAAAUUGCUACUGUUCUACAAACCUCUACACUUGGAGGCCCAACAACGUCUACAAGGAGAAGGUUGCGUAGUAGACAUCAAGCAUUUUUCUGGCGCCGUUGUCGGGGAGGCUAGGUAAGAGGCACUAACAUCCCGUCAACGAAGCAUUUUCGGGGAGGUUAGCGCUUGAAGGUAUAUCUUUAGAUCUUGCAAUCGAAUCUUUUUGUUUCUUGUUCUUUAGCUAGAAAACUACCAAAAAAUGGAAUUGAGGAUGCCUCAUAUGCUCCAUCUUUUUAAUGUCUUUCGUGAGCAUGAUGGGAAGGAAAAUUGUGCUCAAGUGCUGAAAUAAGAAUUACAUAGAAUGCUUGGCAUAGAAUAUGUGAAUGAUGAGCAUGAUUGCAAUGUUGUUAGCACAAAUUCUUUGAAUACCCAUGAUGCUAAUGAUAUGCAAAGCCACAAGCUUGGGGAUGCUAUAUUUGAGGAAGAUGAUCUUUUUAGUUCUUCCACUUUGAAUGAUCAAAAUCAUUUUGAUGAAAGCAUGCCCCCUAUCUAUGAUGAUUAUUGUGAGGAUACUUAUGCUUUGAAGAAGAGGGAUGAUAAAUAUUGUCAUACUUUCGAAAACCCCUUUGCUAAACCUUGCUUUUUCGUUGUGGACACAAUUUGUAGUGCUCAAGUCUUUUACGAUACUCCCACUACUAUUCUUGAGAAUAGAUUUCNNNNNNNNNNNNNNNNNNNNNNNNNNNNNNNNNNNNNNNNNNNNNNNNNNNNNNNNNNNNNNNNNNNNNNNNNNNNNNNNNNNNNNNNNNNNNNNNNNNNGCUAUCUUGCUUAAGGGUUAGGGAUGUGACAACUUUGGAGUUGGAGGGCUUCUUCAUCAUCAUCAUCGUCCCUCCAAUGACUCGUGAGUAGUUCACUUCAGACCUACGGGUCCGUAGUUAGUAGCUAGAUGUCUUCUUCUCUCUCUUGGAUCUUCAAUAGAAAGUUCUCCAUGAUCUUCAUGGAGAUCUAUCCGAUGUAAUCUUCUUUGGCUGUGUGUUUGUCGAGAUCCGAUGAAUUGUGGAUUUGUGAUCAGAUUAUCUAUGAUAUAUAUUUGAGUCUUUGCUGAUUUCUUAUAUGCAUGAUUUGAUAUCCUUGUAAGUCUCUCUGAGUCUUGGGUUUUGUUUGGCCAACUAGAUCUAUGAUUCUUGCAAUGGGAGAAGUGCUUGGUUUUGGGUUCUACCAUGUGGUGACCUUUCCCAGUGACAGUAGGGGCAGCAAGGCACACAUCAAGUAGUUGCCAUCAAAGGUAAAAAGAUGGCGGAUUUAUCAUUGGUUUGAGAUUAUCCCUCUACAUCAUGUCAUCUUGCUUAAGGCGUUACUCUGUUCUUAUGGACUUAAUACACUAGAUGCAUGAUGGAUAGCGGUCGACGUGUGGAGUAAUAGUAGUAGAUGCAGAAAGUAUCGGUCUACUUGUUUCGGACGUGAUGCCAAUAGAAACAAUCAUUGCAUAGAUAUCGUCACGACUUUGCGCGGUUCUAUCAAUUGCUCGACAGUAAUUUGUUCACCCACCGUCUACUUGCUUUCAUGAGANNNNNNNNNNNNNNNNNNNNNNNNNNNNNNNNNNNNNNNNNNNNNNNNNNNNNNNNNNNNNNNNNNNNNNNNNNNNNNNNNNNNNNNNNNNNNNNNNNNNGACUAGGUAUUCGAACCCCAUACAUAUCAAGUAUGACACACGUACGCAUGGCAUACCGAUAUGUAUAGAUUCAUCGAUGGCAUCACAACAUAACCAUAAACAUACAACCUUUAUUCAAGAGGCUCGGAAGAGCCACACACAUAAUAUUACACAUUAAGGUCUCUCGACCCAUAAUAGCAGUCAUACAAAUACAAGCCAGCGGAAGAGUUAUAGACUGUCUGGGUACAGACAAUGCAACUAGAAGGCACAUGGCCUGACUAUACUACAGAGCCGACAUAGGGCCAGAUCGUAGCUGGGACACCAGCUACUCGUCGUCGUCGAUGUCUACGAAGAACCCUCCAUUAGGGUCAUUAGCAACCUCUGCAACAUUUAUUAAGCAAACAUGAGUACGAAGGUACUCAGCAAGACUUUAGGAGAACUAACUACUCAUGCAAGGUAUCAAAAGGUAUUGUGGGGUUUCAUGCGGGAAGCCAGCAUUUGACUCGUGGCUAGACAACUUGCAUUUUGAAAUUAGUUUUGACAACUUGAUUUCUCGCACACGAGUCCACUAACACCACAGCAAUACACUAUCGUGGAAUCAUUCCGUCUCCAUACGGAAAUGCCGUCCACGACACUCACGCUUAUCUUGCCCAUUUUAUGAGUAGCCAUUGAAGUUAUCUAUGAACAACAUAUGUCUCCAAGUAGUCCAUAUCCGCGGACGCGGCUAUUCGAAUAGAUCAUAACCCUGCAGGGGUGUACUUCGUCACACACGCUCUCGCCACUUAUCGCUAUGUGCACGUCAUGCACCUCGGCAACCUUCAAGCGGAAGCCCAGCGAGGGAGUCGGCCACGACCGUUAACCACACCAGUACCUAGUCCAGGUUUAUCGCCUAUCUGAGAGUAACCCGUACGAAAGUCCGGCCGGGGAUUCCGCCACGGCCUCAAACGAUGUGCGCAGGGUUCCCAAGCCCACCAUCCAGGUGCCACUUGGUACACCGUGCCACUGCCUACCGCAUCACGGCCCACCUCUCAGGUCAGCACCAUGCACGGCCUCCAGCAUUACUAUAAACACCAGAAACUACUUGCAACUCCUGGACCGAGUACUACGCGAUUAAUAGGCCGAGCGGGGUCAUAUUUCAGGGCCCAGCAUGUGGUAGUAUCUAGUCUUGGAUUACAUACACGGAACUCAGUUCCUAAGGACGGUUCCAAUGAAACAACCCGCCAUGUACUCCUACACAGCCUUUCACCGGCACCUUUACCAAAUCAAGUUCAACACACAACCUUUGCUCACCGAAAACAUUCCACAUUUCUGUUCAUCUCCCAGAUGACAGACCAUACACAACUCUAAGCAUAUCAUGCAUAGCAGGAUAAGGCACAUCAUAGCUCAAGCAACUACCAGGUAUGCUAGGUUGCAAGGUUCGGCUAUUUACUGUGACAAGGUUAGGUCAUGCAAAGGAAGUGGGUUCAACUAUCGUGGCAAAAGCAGUUGUAGCAUUUGAUCCUAAUGCAAUAAAUAAAUGCAGGAGCAAGAACAUGGGAAUUAUCGGGAUGAUCAAAAGGGUUGCUUGCCUUGUUGCUCAGAGGAGGAACGAUAUCCGUCAGACGGAUAUUCGGUGGAAUCCGGGGGUGCGGAGCCUACCGAAAUGAAUGGCAACAUUCAAUAACAAUCAUAUGCACUCAAAAUGAUGCAUGCGCAUGGCAUGAGAAUGCAGGGUGAUAAGUUAUUAGUUUCAACAUGUAAUAGGUUUAGAGUUGAUUUGAAUCACAUUCGAAUAGCAAUUCAAACGGGGUAUUCUCGGAUACCGGUUUAAUUGAUUCGACCUGAUGCUCAGAUCAACUUGAUGUUAACAUGCAUGAAAUGUCAUGUUAUGGUACUGAUUUGUAAUUAGGGCAGUGUGUGAUCAUUGCAUAUAUAAUGAAAUUUGAAUNNNNNNNNNNNNNNNNNNNNNNNNNNNNNNNNNNNNNNNNNNNNNNNNNNNNNNNNNNNNNNNNNNNNNNNNNNNNNNNNNNNNNNNNNNNNNNNNNNNNUGAGUACCUUCGUACUCAUGUUUGCUUAAUAAAUGUUGCAGAGGUUGCUAAUGACCCUAAUGGAGGGUUCUUCGUAGACAUCGACGACGACGAGUAGCUGGUGUCCCAGCUACGAUCUGGCCCUAAGUCGGCUCUGUAGUAUAGUCACGCCAUGUGCCUUCUAGUUGCAAUGUCUGUACCCAGACAGUCUAUAACUCUUCCGCUGGCUUGUAUUUGUAUGACUGCUAUUAUGGGUCGAGAGACCUUAAUGUGUAAUAUUAUGUGUGUGGCUCUUCCGAGCCUCUUGAAUAAAGGUUGUAUGUUUAUGGUUAUGUUGUGAUGCCAUCGAUGAAUCUAUACAUAUCGGUAUGCCAUGCGUACGUGUGUCAUACUUGAUAUGUAUGGGGUUCGAAUACCUAGUCGUGAACUUUAGUAGCACUCCUUACAAGGAAAUGCCCCUUUGUGAUCCAACGAGCCUUGGUAGUCCGCUACUGCUCCGGACACAUUGGUUGACCGGCAUGUGUCCUUCUUAGCUGUUGUGUCCGUCCUCUUUGGGGAAAUGUCACGCGACGUAAUGGAGUCCUUGUAGCUUGCUACGACUCGUCUACGUUCGCUGAUGACCGACACCUGCUUUGUUGGGUCAUGUAUGCCCGUCCUUGUGCGGAACUGCCACUUUGAUUUAUGACUAGACAUGUCGAUGCGGGUUCUUUGACAUUGGAUUGCUAGCGACACCUAUCGCAUACGUGAGUCAAAAGACGCAAACGGUCCCGGCUAAGGUAAAGCUGCAGCCGUGGAGUUAACCGUGCGUGAGACCACAAAGAGAUGCGAUGUGUUACAGGCUGGAUUCCUAUGGCUUAGGAUCGGGGUCCCGACAGCGUUGGUAUCAGAGCCUGACUGACUGUAGGAUUACUAAGCCAAACUGGUCAAAGUUGAGUCUAGAAUUGCUUUAGUUAUAUAUAAGGGAAUUGUUUGUGGAAGGGAACGUAAGACUCUUGUUCUCUUCUCAAGUUAUUCUAUUCUGGUCAUCCUCGUCUCUUCUGCGGGAAUUAAGGACUAGGUUACUCAUCUUCUCCUAGGCUCGUGUUUCCAAUCGGUAGCUUAUAGGACUACGGGUCGAGAGAUAUUGGGUUUCUUUUAUUCCUAGGAAGCAGGAAGUAAGUUUGGUGACCAGAGAGUUGAACUUGAUAGUUGAGUGGUUACGCUAUUCCAUUUUGGGUUGUCUCAAAUUUGUUUUGAGCAUUUACAGCCGUUAUGCUGCCCAAUUUUGCAUUCAGAGCUCUAAUGCUUUUGCAUUACUCUCUAUUUACAGAUGUCUGGCCGUCCUUCCCGUCAGGUGGUACGUCUGACCAGGUGCAUUGAUGUACCGGGUCAUACGGCCAUGCUGGUCAGGGUGAUGUCGGUGUGCGGUUACCGCUGGUACCCCGAGUACACAGUGGAGGAACAGUACCGGGACUUCAACCAGAGCCAGUACAUCUGCACUGUUAGGGUAUUCCUAGACUACCCUGGAGCGGAGAAGCCAAUCCAUUGGUCCUAUGGGUUGGGGGUCACCGUUGACAUGGGAGUACAAGAUGCUGCCUAUUCAAUGCUGACUAUUAUGAGAGCGAGACAUGCACUGCUGCAGAAUUCAGAGUUCUGCUAUGUUCCGGCCUCUCAGUCUGGUGAAGAGGGAUACCUCAGUGGACUCUAUUUUGAUUCUUCUAUGGAGGAUCCACUUCUGCAGACCACUGUUGAGAUGCUAGAGAACAGAGACAACGAUGCUCGUGCUCUCCGCAUGGAGCUUUAUGCUACUCGUGCCCGUCUGUGGACAGCUUUGACGCAGCUAGCACCGGUAGUCCAGACAGGGUAUGGAGAGAUGGAGAUGCUGAACCCUGUUAGGACCCAUCUUCCGGCUCACGUUGACUGGCCAGCUAUAGGAGGAGUCACACCUCUUCGGAGACCCCUCUUACCACCAGUCAGGGGACCAAGGCCACAUCCGUGUCCUUAUGGAUCCCAGGGGUCUCAGGCUAGAGUGUUUCCUGAUCCGCAGGUUGAGCUUCCAGGUCAUGGAGGUAAUCUCUAUGAGAUGUUCUAUGCGGAUGCCUGAGCUGUGAGCGGAAGGAUAGUAUGGUAGUAGUCGUACGUUCAAAGUCCUGCGUGACUUGUGAAGUAUGGUAGUAAUGUGAAAUGAAUUCCAGAGGCCUAGAUAAAUAAUGUAUAGGAAGCUUGUAAGCCUCUGAUGAGUAGUUCCACCAUUUCAGUAGUUUGCUCUUCGGGUAAGUUUGUACUGAACUAUGUAAGGGUGUGUAUGAACCAUGGUGUAUAUAUAGCAGUUGCUUGUUACCAUGUUGUUCGGAUAUUCAUUUCCGCAUUCCGUGUGUUCAGUACAUUCUUAAUCCAUAGCUAGUAUUGAUAUGAUAUUGGUCUAAGCUAUGAGUUUGUUUGUCAGGAUGGUGUUCACCAGGUUGAACCGUGCCCCUGCUCAUGAGCAAGGUGAGGGUAGUCAAGCGUCGCAGGAAGACCUGCCUCACCCACCUUCUCUGGUAGAAGUGAUGCUUGAGGCAGAAAGAAACAAAAGGGAGACCAACCGACUGCUAGAGCGUAUUGAGCAGAAUACGGNNNNNNNNNNNNNNNNNNNNNNNNNNNNNNNNNNNNNNNNNNNNNNNNNNNNNNNNNNNNNNNNNNNNNNNNNNNNNNNNNNNNNNNNNNNNNNNNNNNNUGCCCCAACGGCUCCCCCACGCGGCGCGCCCCGUGGGCAUCGUCGUACUGCUCCAGCUGUGGAGCCGCCCGCACCGGCCUCCCCCGCAACGGGGGAAUCGCCGAUCCCGGAGGCUUCUCCGCUAGUUGCCCCGGGCGUCUCGGCCCCGUCUCCUGCACCACCGGGCCCCGCUCCUGUCGGCACGACGCCUCCACCACCUGCUGCCCCCGUGCCCAGUACGGGGCCGGCCUCUCCCUCAACUGCCCCACCUGCUGCCCCCGUACACUUCGGAGUGCUUACCCGUGCGCGCGCGGGUGUCCAUCGACCCAGCCAGAGGUACUCCUCCAACGAGUACGUCUGCACUGCCACCACGACGGCUCCUUCGCCGCUCCCUGCGUCCGUCCACUCGGCGCUCCGGGACCCUCACUGGCGCGCCGUCAUGCAAGACGAGUACGACGCGCUACUGAGGAAUCGCACCUGGCAGCUGGGUCGUUCGCGGCUUCCGGCAACGGGCUGGUCUCGACUUGUGACAGCCCAAGUGCAAUCUCCCCUCCCCUUUUGUAUCCUCCUUGUAUGGCAACCUUGGCAUGUUGGUGUGAUGUGGGGUGAGCCUAACUUUGUGUCAUCAUUUCAUGUGCAUCAUGCCUUCUUGCAUUGCAUUCUUUCCCUUUUGUUGUGGUUGUGUUGAUGUGGGUGUCCUUGUUGUGAUGUGCAAGUGUUGUGUUGAUGUCCUUAGUGAUUGUUUAGGUGUGGGGGCAACAAGUGCAUGUCAAAACCCACAUGUUGCUCCAUAAGGAGAAAACCCUUCUCUCUCUAUGUUAAUUUGUGGCAGGUUUAAAAGGCUUUGUUUCUCCAUUUAAAAAAAUGUUCAUCUUUCCCUAAAAAAAAUCCUUUUCAUUUUGUGGAGGCAACCCCUCUGGUUUCUACUUUACUUUCCUUCUUAUCUUAUUUAAAAAAUCAAAGCCCAUUUAAAUUAGAUGAAUAUAAUUUUGGACUUCUAAAAAUGUUCCACUUAUUUUUAUAAACAGUGGCAACANNNNNNNNNNNNNNNNNNNNNNNNNNNNNNNNNNNNNNNNNNNNNNNNNNNNNNNNNNNNNNNNNNNNNNNNNNNNNNNNNNNNNNNNNNNNNNNNNNNNGGGGUUGUCAAUCCCUUAUAGAUUGUUUGCCAAGUGAGAACUGAAAGCAACAAAGUAACAAAUCAAAGUAAAAGCGGAGGUGUAAACGAUGGAUGUGAAUAGACCCGGGGGCCGUAGUGUUUACUAGUGGCUUCUCUCAUGAAAGCAAGUAGACGGUGGGUGAACAAAUUACUGUCGAGCAAUUGAUAGAACCGCGCAAAGUCGUGACGAUAUCUAUGCAAUGAUUGUUUCUAUUGGCAUCACGUCCGAAACAAGUAGACCGAUACUUUCUGCAUCUACUACUAUUACUCCACACGUCGACCGCUAUCCAACAUGCAUCUAGUGUAUUAAGUCCAUAAGAACAGAGUAACGCCUUAAGCAAGAUGACAUGAUGUAGAGGGAUAAUCUCAAACCAAUGAUAAAUCCGCCAUCUUUUUACCUUUGAUGGCAACUACUUGAUGUGUGCCUUGCUGCCCCUACUGUCACUGGGAAAGGUCACCACAUGGUAGAACCCAAAACCANNNNNNNNNNNNNNNNNNNNNNNNNNNNNNNNNNNNNNNNNNNNNNNNNNNNNNNNNNNNNNNNNNNNNNNNNNNNNNNNNNNNNNNNNNNNNNNNNNNNUCACGAGUCAUUGGAGGGACGAUGAUGAUGAUGAAGAAGCCCUCCAACUCCAAAGUUGUCACAUCCCUAACCCUUAAGCAAGAUAGCAUUGUGCUCAUGUCUUCUUUGCAUUUGCAUCUAAGAAGUUUCAACAAAAACAACAAAGUGGCAAAGGAAAAACUCAAAACCCUAGCCACCAUUUCAAAUUAAAGGAAAUCUCAAACUAGUUCAAAAUCAAUGAACCCAAAAUGGCCUCAAGAAAUGUUCAAACUUUCUGAUAAAUCAUGAAAGUAAAUGAGCAUUGGAGAAAACUAUUUUCUUGACACUUUAAGCUUUUUAAAUUAAUGCAAAAGCCACUGGUUUCAAAUUUAAAAUUUGAAAUCAGAAACUAUAAUUUUCCAAAAAUGUUGAAAACCUUGGAAAUGGUUGGGGAUAUUAUAACAAAUAUUUCAGGAGGUCUAAAAUAGUUUUUACUUUUUGUUUUGGAGCUGAAUUAAUUAGCAAAACAAUAAUUAGCAAAACAGAAAAACAAAAACAGAAAAAUAAGGAAAAACCUUACCUGUCGCCUAAGCCUGGCCCGGCCCAUCCCUGGCUCGUCCCCUCCCUCGCACCAGUAGGCAGCAGGAGGUGGUCGCCGCCCCCUCCGGCGCGGCCACGCACCUGCGUGCCUGCCUGGCCGCCGCCUCGCGCUGGCGACGACGGGGAUAAGCUCCCCAGAGCCUCCCCUAUCCAUUCCCCGCCUCGGUUCUCUUCCUCCACCCGGAUCUCUUCCUCCUCCCCGCUGCCGCCAUUGGAGCCGAGCUCGAGCUCGAGCUGCCCGUGCCCCUAGCCUUAGGAUCCCCUCCCAGAGCAUGCCAUUAGCGCCGCCUCGUCGCCCUGGUCAUCUCUACAGAAGCCGAAGCUUCCUCGAGCCCUGCAACGCCCGCAACGCCGUCGUCUUCCACCUCCGGCCGCCGGACCUCUCCCGUCGAUUCGCUUCCUCCGGCGCAUCCCCGAGCCCCUCUUCAGCACCAUCGGAACGGCCGUGAGCUCGUCGUCGUUUCCCCUCUCGCCCCACGCUCUCCCGUGCAUCGUAUCCUAGUUCCCCACCAAGGCCGAGAGCUUCUCGCCGCCGGCCAUGUCGCUGUCGUCGUUGUGAUGACUGAUCCACGCGCCCGAGCUAGGAUUCGAGCUCCUGGAGCCUCCAGGAGCGUGCCGAGCCCUCCAGCUGCCCUCCCCGUGCCCUAGAACCGCCCCUCAUAGAAGGCCGAGCUUCGGCCGCCGCUCCGGCUCAUCGCCGACGCCUCUUCCGGCGACCCUAGCCUCCCCAGAUGGUCCUGCCAGAUCGGCCACUUCGCGAGCAUGCUGUAGCUGCAAACCGCGUGCGUUUUGGUGUUGUGCAGCGCCGUCUAGGUCGCCUCCGGCGAGCCCUCCGCCGCGGGCCUGGUCGCCGGCGACCACCCUCCGGUGGGGGUCGACGUGGCAAGCUAACCCAGCAGCUUAGGGACCUAAUCACUCGCUGACAAGUGGGCCCAAGGCCAAGUCAAACCUCAGUUAGGGCUGGUCAGCGUGGGAUUAGUCCCAGAGAGGCUGUCCAGUGGGGCCCCCCUGUCAGGUUUGACCUGAACAAGUCGGCUGACCUGCUGAUGUGAGCCUGAGGCAAUAAAUAGAAUUUCCAGUAUAAAACUAAUUCAGGAAAUUGCUAAAAUNNNNNNNNNNCGGGAUUAGUCCCAGAGAGGCUGUCCAGUGGGGCCCCCUGUCAGGUUUGACCUGAACAGGUCGGCUGACCUGUUGAUGUCAGCCUGAGGUAAUAAAUAGAAUUUCCAGUAUAAAACUAAUUCAGGAAAUUGCUAAAAUUUGUAAAAAUCAUAGAAAUUAAUCUGUAACUCCAAUGAAAAUAAUUUAUAUAUCAAAAAGUAUCAGAAAAAUUCAAGGAUUCUGAUUAUGCUAUUUUCAACCAUGUUUAAAAAAGUUACAGAACCCUAAAUUGUGGAAUAAGGAAUAAUUCAAUUCUUUUAAUCACUUUAUAAAUGGAAUUUGCAAAAAAAUUCAAAUUUCAUUAUAUAUGCAAUGAUCACACACUGCCCUAAUUACAAAUCAGUACCAUAACAUGACAUUUCAUGCAUGUUAACAUCAAGUUGAUCUGAGCAUCAGGUCGAAUCAAUUAAACCGGUAUCCGAGAAUACCCCGUUUGAAUUGCUAUUCGAAUGUGAUUCAAAUCAACUCUAAACCUAUUACAUGUUGAAACUAAUAACUUAUCACCCUGCAUUCUCAUGCCAUGCGCAUGCAUCAUUUUGAGUGCAUAUGAUUGUUAUUGAAUGUUGCCAUUCAUUUCGGUAGGCUCCGCACCCCCGGAUUCCACCGAAUAUCCGUCUGACGGAUAUCGUUCCUCCUCUGAGCAACAAGGCAAGCAACCCUUUUGAUCAUCCCGAUAAUUCCCAUGUUCUUGCUCCUGCAUUUAUUUAUUGCAUUAGGAUCAAAUGCUACAACUGCUUUUGCCACGAUAGUUGAACCCACUUCCUUUGCAUGACNNNNNNNNNNNNNNNNNNNNNNNNNNNNNNNNNNNNNNNNNNNNNNNNNNNNNNNNNNNNNNNNNNNNNNNNNNNNNNNNNNNNNNNNNNNNNNNNNNNNAGACACAACAGCUAAGAAGGACACAUGCCAGUCAACCAAUGUGUCCGGAGCAGUAGCGGACUACCAAGGCUCGUUGGAUCACAAAGGGGCAUUUCCUUGUAAGGAGUGCUACUAAAGUUCACGACUAGGUAUUCGAACCCCAUACAUAUCAAGUAUGACACACGUACGCAUGGCAUACCGAUAUGUAUAGAUACAUCGAUGGCAUCACAACAUAACCAUAAACAUACAACCUUUAUUCAAGAGGCUCGGAAGAGCCACACACAUAAUAUUACACAUUAAGGUCUCUCGACCCAUAAUAGCAGUCAUACAAAUACAAGCCAGCGGAAGAGUUAUAGACUGUCUGGGUACAGACAGUGCAACUAGAAGGCACAUGGCGUGACUAUACUACAGAGCCGACGUAGGGCCAGAUCGUAGCUGGGACACCAGCUACUCGUCGUCGUCGAUGUCUACGAAGAACCCUCCAUUAGGGUCAUUAGCAACCUCUGCAACAUUUAUUAAGCAAACAUGAGUACGAAGGUACUCAUCAAGACUUUAGGAGAACUAACUACUCAUGCAAGGUAUCAAAAGGUAUUGUGGGGUUUCAUGCGGGAAGCCAGCAUUUGACUCGUGGCUNNNNNNNNNNNNNNNNNNNNNNNNNNNNNNNNNNNNNNNNNNNNNNNNNNNNNNNNNNNNNNNNNNNNNNNNNNNNNNNNNNNNNNNNNNNNNNNNNNNNAAGACAUAGAAACGUAUCAAUACCAUCAAAACAUAUCAAUAUAGACAUGAAAUCUAGUUUCAAAGACCUCGUCACAGCAAAUUUAAUGAUGGAAAUAGAUUUUUAAUUUGGCUUUUCGUUUAAGGGAUAAGACAUUUUGAAUUUUGAGAAAAUGAUGUUUACAUCAUCUACAUUUGUUUUCACUUGCAUGUAUGCAUGGAUGCCAUUCCGCACUUUCCCUCGUCAGGGACUGUUCGCCCAUUAUUACAGUCGAAAACUAAAACAAUGAUAUGUACUCCCUCUGUUCCUAAAUAUAAGUUUUUUAAGAGAUUUCAAANNNNNNNNNNNNNNNNNNNNNNNNNNNNNNNNNNNNNNNNNNNNNNNNNNNNNNNNNNNNNNNNNNNAAUGAUAUGUAAUUACAUACUCUUAAAAAUAAUAAUUAAAUAAAAAGACAAUCCUUGGAAAUUACCAGUCUAGUCUUAUUCUAAGACCUGACGAAACAUUAUUGAGUACCCGUCAUAUACAAGAGGAUUCGCUAGCAAAGGACUAUCAGAAAGGUUCAGGCAAUCUGCUGCCCAGGUCAUACACGAUUAUUCAUCAGGUUGGACACAAGCUAAGCUGCUUUCCUUCUGGAGAGUAAUUUGAAAAACUGUUCAAAGGCAGGGUAGAAUGAUCAUCCUUCGUGAUACACUAAACUGGAAACAAAAAACUCAGCUCGAUGCAUUUACAUGGACAGAAAUCGAAGUAUGUAACGGGUGAAGCUACCAUCAUGCCUCCAGGUCGUUCAGGUUUCUCGGAACUUUGACAAAAAGUUUUGAAACGAAGAGAAACCUUCCAUCGCAUCGUGCGGCAUGUUAAGCGUGAAAGGGGGAAGAACACUCGGACCAGCCUUCAGGUUCUUCGGGCCAGCGGCUGACGGUAGCGCAAGUGCAGGCUGCUGUCUGUUGAGCUUUUCUAUGAUGUACGAGAAAGUUCCAAAAGCCAGGCAGCUCUGAAUCAGAGUUUGCGGUGCACCU
rnacentral:lncRNA from 1 species